GCUGUCUGCAAACUAAGAAGAGUACUCACAAAAAACCACAUCCAAUGGCCUUGGACUUCCAGCCUCCAGAAUCGUGAGUAAACAAAUGUCUCUUAUUUGUGACAUUCUGUUAUGCUGGGCUAGCCAACAAAUACAAAUAUGUACUAUGUGAAAUGGCCUUUGCCUUUGGAGGUUGUAUGGUUUCAUUGGGAUUUUGUUGUUUGGGUCCCUUUCUUCGAGAUGCCUUUUUUAGUACUGGGAUUGAACCCAGGGACACGUAACCACUGAGCCACAUCCCCAGCCCUUUUUAAAAAAUGAUUUAUUUAGAGACAGGUUCUUGCUGAGUUGCUUAGGGCCUCACUAAUUUGCUGAGGCUGGUUUUGAACUCAGGAUCCUCCUGCCUCAGCCGCCCAAGCCUCUGGGAUUACAGGCAUGCACCACCAUGCCCAGCUUUAAGUAGCAUUUCUUUCCAUGACAAUAUGGUAUAAGAUUAAAGUUGAGAACUUCUCAGAAGAUUUGAGAGAAAACAUCCCUCAUCUUUCAUUAAAGAUCACUUUUACUCCUUCCUAUUCCUCUUUCUCCCUCCAGAAAUUGUACAUCCAUGAGGCAAGUGGAAGAGAAAUCAUUCUCCAGCUUCUGUAGCACAAGCUGUCUGCCACAAAUAGACUCAUGUCCCUGGUAGCUCCAACCAGGCUGAAAGGGAGGCUGUAGGCACUGAAUUUCCCAGCUCUUCAGUUUACCACAUUAGUAUAUUAAAAUUUCUUAAAAUUUAAAUAGGCAUGUGCACACACAUGCACACACAUGACUUUGAGGUUUCUCAGUAUUAUCAUGACUUUCUUUUCACAAAGGUUAAUAUUCAGAAAGGGUUUGAUUUUUCCAAUUGAAGAGUUUUUUUUCUCACAAAUAGUACUGCUUACAUUAUUAAAAUAAGGUACUCUGAGCAUGCAUUUGCAUUGCAAAAGGUAGGGAGAGUUCAAUUUAUAUGAACCAAAUUGGGGCUCCUAGUUCAUUAACUCUGGGCAUUGAGGCCUGUCACCAUGACCAUCAAUUGCAUGCAAUUGUGCCCCAUACGGGGCCCUCCACCUCACAUAUAUGUCCUGUUGUUGAAUGGAACCUGGGCAGGGGUGCCAUCCUGGCAGGUCCUAGAAGAUUUUUAUGGGCAAGUAGAAGUGGGAGUCAGAAUUCAGGAAAGAGGCAAGAUGGAAAUUUGACUGAAGGAAAGGAUACCAUAGUGUGAUGGUUUGGAUAUAAGGUGUCCCCCAAUAAGCUCCUGUGAUAGAUAAUGUAGCAAUGUUCAGAGGUGAAAUUAAGAUUAUGAGAGCUGUAACAUAAUCAGUGGAUUAAUCCAUUUGGUGGAUUAAUAAUUUGAAAGAACUACUGUACUAGGUGAUAACUGUGGGGAAGUGGGGUGUGGCUGGAGGAAGUAGGCCACUGAGGGCAUGCUCUUGACAUUUAUAUUUUAGUGGCUUGUCUCCUCUCUCUAUUUCUGUUUCCUGGCUGCCAUGAGCUGAGCAGCUUUGCCUCUAUUGCCUCUUUCUGCCAUGAUAUUCUGCCUCCCCUGGAGCCCAGAUCAAUGGAAUUGGCCAACCAUGGACUAAACCUCUAAAACUAUGAACCAAAAUAAACUUUUCCUCUUCUAAGUUCUUGUCAAGCAUUUUGUUCCCAGUGGCAAAAAGCUGUCUAUACACAUGGUGUGGUACAUUCUUUCCUCUUCCCUUAGUUUCUUAAGAAAGUCAGGAAGGAAGUGCUGGAGGAAAAGUUAGAGGAAGGAGAACACUAAGCUUUCUAAACUGACAGUUCAAAUUUUAUUUAUGAUUCUUAAAGAAUUACAAAUACUAAUAACAAUGAGUAAGGUUUCACAAAUGUUACAUCUUUGCAACUUAAAAUUGUAUGUGCAAGGAGCUUAAGUCAGACAUCUGCUGGGCUGAGUGACAUUUAGAACCACUCAUUGUAUAAACAGUGUUCCCAGAAGAAGAAAUAUAGAUGGCCAAAAAAAUGUGAAAUACUGAGGUUGCUAAAAAUUAUAGAAAGGUAAUUUAAAGCAUAUAUCUCUCUUUGGGCACUAAAAAUUAUAGAAAUGUAAUUUAAAGCAUAUAUCUCUCUUUGGGUAUAUACAUACAUAUACAAGUAUGUAUCUGUAUAUUUUUUUUUGCCUCAAAGUUCAACAUGUUCAUCCUGACACUCCAGUAAAAUGAAAGAUAAAUACAAGAAAGAGAAAGUCAAAGGAUCUAAGAAACAUUAGAAAUCCCUUAAGGAUGUAAUUAAAAUUAAAAAGGCAUUGUGAUAGUUGUGGUACAUACCCAGAAGACAGUAAUGCAAAAUUUAGAAAGUUGUAUGCUUCAGAAAUUGGUUGAUCUUCAUGAUAUGAUAAAGAGGAUAUAUGUUUCUAAUGUCAACUAGCUAAAAAAUAUCAAAAGCAAGUAGAAACCUCAGAAAAAUCAAGAAGCAGAUAAAAAUCCUAAUCUAAAUGAGAAGCGAUCUAAAUUAAGGCAUAGUUUUGAGGAACUGAUUAGAGUAAGGAAAGACAAUUUAUUUAAUUUUUCCUUUUAAACAUUUUCUUUGGAGUGGCCUAGGAUUCUCUGCUUUCUUACCAGAUUCCUCAGUAAAUGAUUUAAAUAUCUACAGAGUUAUAAAACUCCCUGUGAGUUAUCAACACUUUAAUCAAUCUUUGGACAAAAGCAGAGAAGACAACUUUGGUUUACAAACAGAAUAUAGUUAUUAAAAAUCCAUUAAAUAUAAAAGGGAAUGAUAGUGAUGACGGAAAUCAGGAGGUGAAGGAAAUGGGAGGAAAGGAGGGAGGAGUAGAUGGGGAGUUUCUCAUUCCAGUAGGGAACCAAGGAGAAUACAGACUAAAGUGUGAGAAGAGACAGAGGGUGAGAGGAUGAGGGAGCACAAACCCUCAUGUAGCAGGAGGCAGUAAAUACUGUUGCAAGUUCAUAAAUAAAAGAUUAGAGACAUAACCAUGUUAUUAAUAUUUUCUGGCAACCACCAGAAGAACAUUACCCAGAACUGGCAAAAAUCAGUUAUAAUAGGGAGUGGAUGGAGAGAGGAGGAGUGGAAGGAGGAGAGUUUUCUUAAUGUUCUCCACUACUUGAAUUGGAUUUUCAUCACAAGUAGAUAUUAAUUUUUUAAAAAAUGGAAAUAAUAGCACUGCAAAGUGUUUGCAUUGGCAAAGAAAACAGGUCCUCUUCUACUCUGCAAAAGUGAAAACUGAACUUUAUUUUAUUUAUUUAUUCUUAUUAGUGCUUUAUGGUUUACCAUAGUAGUUGGGUUCAUCCUGACAAUCUCAUACAUGCAUGGAAAUUGAUUUCAGUUUAUGAUUCCCCUUUUUUUCCCCUCUGAAAAUUGAACUUUAACAGGCAAUUCUGUGUUUUAAAAAGCACCAGGUCACUCUCCUAUAGUAACACCAUAUAAGUUCAACUGUGGCUGGCAAAGCAACCAAUGAAGAGGCAGAAGACACACAGGGCUUUUCCACAUCCCAUGUGAGCGAGAACCUGUACGUCCUCGUGCCUUCUCCCUGUGCACGUCUCACACCCUGACUCACUAAGAAGCAUCACCAGCUGCCCAGGUUCUUAGAGUUCUCCCAUCUCCAGUUUUCAUCUUUAUCGUGAUCCCCACAUGGAAGACUGUAUCUGGUGGUUUCUCCAUCCUCACAUGACUCACUUUGGUUUACUUUUGUGGAAGCCACUAAAUUGGGAGCUGGGACUUUUCCCUUCUGCCAGAGUCUGAGGCAAACCACAAUUUUCCAUAGUCUCUGGGUGCACGCCAGCCACUUGGAGACGUGCCCUUGAGUCUGUUCGUCCUCUCCUCGUGGUUACUCAGAAGAGGCCCUGUUUGUGUUUCAAAUGCAGCAACAUAUUAGAGGAGUGGCCCCCACAGCCUGACAUGCUCAUUCUCCCCCAUCAUUGCUGAUGUUAUGGGAAAGAGAACACCUUGGACAGCCUCAGCGAUGGUAGUCCAACUUGACUUGAGUAGGGUAGCCAUGUGCUUCUUGAGAUUUUAUGACAAAACUCCCGGGAAAUGUCUGUGGUAAAACUACAUUUUUGUAGAGUGUAACAGUUUACACACCACCAUGAUAGCCCUAUGAUCUCCAUUUUAAAUGAGAAAAUUGAGCUCUGUGGCAAGUCAGCUGCCCUGAUCACUUGGCUACAAAGUAGUAAUGUAGGGAUUAACAUCCUGAUUAUAUGAUUCCUAGUCUUCUAUAUGAGAUUUUUUUUUAGGACUUCUUUUCACAGUGAAAUAGUUAUAGGAAUUAGACAAGAAGCUCUUUAUUCUGUUUCAGAGUUCCACAGAAAUUUCUGGAAUCUUGCAAUUCACUUUGUUGAGCUUUGGACUGAAUCUCAAGUUUGACACUUAACAAUUAUGUGCCCUUCACCAAGUUCACACAUCCCUGAGUUUCAAUGUCCUCAUGAGUAAGAUGGAGGUAAUUAUACUUAUCUCCAAUAAAACCUCAUCAGGAUUGCCUUGAGGUUUAAAUAAGAUCCUACAGAAAGAAAGGAGCUCAAAGUGGCCAUGCUGAUGGUGGUUGUAAGUGUGAAGAGAUCUGUUUUGAAACACAGUGGACACAUUACACAACCCAUACCAAUUUCUUCUUCAGAUGGGUUCCAAUUAACUACUCCCUUGUCUUCUCAGAUGUCAGUUUGCCUUCAGAAUACCAACUUUAUAAGUAGCUGGCCAAGCCUGUAAUCCUAGCUACGUGGCGGGCAGAGGUGGAAGGUUCAAGGCCAGCCUAGGAAAUAUAGCAAGUCCUUCACCUCAAAAAUAAAAACUGGUUAAAGGGAAUUAAAUACUUAACUAUAAUAUAUGAAACUACUAGAAGGAAACAGGGAAACACUUCAGGACAUUGGAAUGGGCAAAAUUUUUUUUAGGAUAAGAUCCCAAAGCACAGAAAACAGAAGCAAAAAUAGACAAAUGGGAUUACAUCAAACUGAAAAGCUUCUGCGAAGCAAACAAUCAUCAAAGUGAAGAGACAGCUUAUAGAAUGAGGGAAAAUAUUUGCAAACCACAUAUCUGGCAAGGUCCAGUAACCAGAAUAUCUAUGUCUAUAUCUCCAUAGAACCCUAAAACUCAAUAUAAAAAUAACUUGGUUUAAACUUGGGCAAUAGAUUUAAAUGGAUGUUUCUCAAAAGAAGACACACUAAUGGCCAAUAGAUACAUGAAAAAUGCUCAACAUCAUUAAUUGUGGAAAUGCAAAACAAAGCCACAAUGAGAUAUCACUUCGACUAGUAAUAACGGGUAUCAUCAAAAAGACUAAAAACAAGUGCUGGUGAGGAUGUGGAGAAAAGAGAACUCUUGAAUACUAAUGGGAGGAAUGUAAAUUAGUACAUCUAUUAUAAAAAUAGUAUGGGGGUUCUUAAAAAAAUGAAAAUAGAACUACCAUUUGACCCAGCAAUCCCAUUCCUGGGUAGAUAUCCAAACAAAAUGGAACCAGUAUGUCAGAGACAUAUGCACUCCUGUGUUCUUUGUAGCACUGUUCACAAUAUCCAAGAAAGGGAAACAGCCAAAGUGUCCAUCAAGUGAUAAAUGGAUAAAGAAAAUGUGGUAAUACAUACCACUGAACACUGUUUUGUCAUUAAAAGGAUGAAAUCAUGUCAUUUUCAACACAUAGAUGAAACUGGAGGUCAUUGUUAAGUGAAAUAAGUCAGGCACAGAAGGACAAAUACCACAUGAUCUCACUCAUAUAUGAAAUCUAAAAAAAAUUGAUCUCACAGAAAUUGAGAGUGGUUGGAAAAAUAGUGAUUAAAAGGCAAUCAAUACUUGCUCCAUGGCAUUGAAUAGAUAAUUAAAAGUCAUAAAGAGUUAAAACAUUGUUUUUCAUAAACAAGGUUGGGUUUUUUUAAAAGCAAACUCUAGGGCUUGACUUUCCUUUUGGAUAAUAAAGGCUGACAAAUAAAAAAAAAAUAAAGAAAAAAAAUGAAAUUGAGAAUAGAAUAGUGGUUACCAGAGAUUGAAGAGAGUCUGGGGGAGAGAGGAUGGAAAGGUUGGUCAAUGGAUAUUAAGUUUCAGUUAUAUAAGAAUAAUAAAUUCUGGUGUUAUUGUGUAAAAUAGUACAACUAUAGGUAAUAAUUAUGUACUACUGUAUAUUUCAAAAAUCUAGAAGAAAGAAUUUGGGGUGUUUUUAUCAUAAAGAAAUGAUAAAUGUUUGAGGAGAUAGAUAUCUAUUGAGAAUGUUCAUGAUAAAGAUACAGAGGAAAAAGUGUAAGUCAAGACUUACUUACUCAACAGGGAAGGAAGGGAGACUUGAUGCGCCCCCUCCCCACAUCUGCCCAAGUCUGGAGACGUUUUUGGCUGUUACAACUGGGAGGAGUGUGCUAUUGGCAUCUAGUGGGCAGAGGGCAAGAGACUCUGCUAAACAUCCUGCAAUGUAAAGGACAGCUGUCCACCCCCCAAACAAGGAAUCACUGGCCCAAAAUGUUGGUAGUGUGGAGGUUGAGAAAUUCUGGUUUAUAGCUUUCAUCCUUUAACCAAGUAUAUCUACCAUUAAGCAAUGUGACUUUGUUGAAUGAAGAAAACAACCCAGGUGAGAACAGAGUCUUUUGCUAAAAAGUGUAAGUCAUAUGAUUUUUAAAAAUCUUGCAAAUGAGAAGUCUUAGUAUCCCCUACAACUCCUUAACUUAAACUUAACUUUUCUUUCUUUCUUUUUUUUUUCUUUUUGGUGAUGCUGGGGAUUGAACCCAGGGCCUCACAUUUGCUAGGCAAGGCAAGCACUCUACCAUUGAGUUACAUCCCCAGCCCUCCCAAACUUUUCAAGUAUGAAAUGAGCAUAAUUUAAUAGAACCAAAUGUUCUAAAAACUAUACAGAACUUUGCAAAGGCAUUAUUACAGCUUUUAAGCAUAUGUAUUUAUUAUCCUUUAUAGUUUAUAAGUCACAUGAAUUGUCUUAUUCAGUAUUUACAAUUUGAUAUCAUUGUCCCAAUUUCAUAGAUUGUAAGAUGAUAAACUUUAAUAUUUUGGGACAUCUGCUAUGUGUCUAGGCACUGUGCUUAUCACCAGACAGACAGAAGUUUAGUCUUAAGAAGUUCAAAAUCUCCUGUUGGACACCCACAUGUGAUACAUAUACUAAUAGAAGUAGGUAUAAACAGUCAUGGGAGAAUGGGAAGAAAACUGGGGGAGGAAACCAAAGUCAUUUGCCUAAGGUUACAAAACUAGUAAUUGACAGAUCUGGUUCUUGAUUUAAGGUCUUGAGUCUCAAAUCCUCUGUCUUGGCAUAAAGAUAUAAUCUCCUUAGCUUUUCUAGUGAAAUGAAAACAAAACUGAAAAAUAUUUACUCAAAAACUCAUCCAUAAAUUACCAAGUGGGCAAAGUAUAUAGAAUCAUUUUUGGAACUGUGGUCCAGACUGGGAUGAUGACAGGGAAGAUAAGACUUGGCAGAGCAGAAUAAUAAAGGGCGUCUAGUUCUCAACCCACCCACCAGGCCGUCCUCGAGUUUGGACAGUUAAGACCCACACCCCCCGAGAAGCCUGACUUUGAGUUGGAGGAGCUGAGAAAAGAUCUCUUGAGGUUAGGCGAAGUUCCCUAAAUGUAGCCAAGGUUCCUUUUCCUCUCUUUGCAGCUGGUGUGAAGAAUUCUCCAUUUAGGGAGAUAAUCUUAAGUGAGUGGGAGGAGCUGCCUAACAACUGGUGGGGUAAAUAUGGAGGAAGACAGAAACAAAUAGCCAGCUUCUCUAGUGUCCUCUGGUCAGCUCUUUCCCUCCUCCCUGCCUCCCCCAAAUCUGGAUGGAAAUAUGAAGCCACAGUCCACUGGCAAUUGCUCAUUCUGAUGACAAAUAAGAAGCCAGUCCAUCGAAAUAUCAUUUAACAGCUGUUUGCUUCCACAAUCCAGGAGACACGAUUUUGCCAUCUGGAUUUGCUUAAAUGGCCCGAGAUGAGCAUAGUCGGGCAGUGUACGCUCCCAAUAGAGGGCGGAGGCCAAACCAGAGCCGGUCUGGUGAUUAAAGCUCAGGGACUAAGUCACUCCCUUUGUCCUUUCAGACAAGGAUGGGAGUAAAUGGGAUCCACGCCAGUGACAUAAAGUACUCAUUUUCCAUUCAGGCCUAAGAUUUGUCCCCAGGGCCAGGAGCAGCGGGUAAACAUGAAACCUGAUUUGCCUGUGCAGAGUGGAGCUACAAAAUUAUGAUGCUCUCAGGGCCCCUCCUUCCCCCCUCCACUUCCUGGUGAAGAGGCUGAACAGUCUUAACUGUCACCACAUUUAUUCUGUCCAGCCCCUGCCUCCAGGGCCACUGUCAACUGAACCAGAGUGAACACCUGACCCAGGCUGCACCCAGCACAUCGGCUCUUCCGGGAAUUUGGAAUUGGUGCCUUAGAGACAUUGAUCGUUCCAAACCAGAGGUUUUCACCCUUACUCUAUGUUGAAACUGCCUAAGGAAUUCUGAAAACAGGCCCUGCUCCACACCACAUCUCACACACACACACACACACACACACACUCACUCACUUAUGGGAUGGCCACGCCUACACCCCAGAUUCUGACUUUAGUUAUUCUAGGUUAGACUGAACUAAGUUCUAGCUUGUUCUGCAGAGCCUCCUAUUGUAGCUGGGAGAGGCACAAAUGCAGAGAGAAGCAAACACACAGAGAUCCGUGAAGUGGACCUUCAGUGAGAAGUUGGGCUGAGAGACCCCAGUCCUCGAAUGAGCAGACAGUGACUUGAUUCCUGAGAGCUUUCUAAUUUGGAGUCCCAGACUAUCCUCAGGCUCAGUUGUAGUUCCUGCCCUUGAAUAACAUCCUUCAAAACAUUUCUUCUGAAGUUACUGUGAGUAGCUUCUAUUACAUUUAACAGAAUGAACCUUCACCAAGCCAUUCUCACAGCCUGUCCCAAUCCUGCUGAUUUGGCCUCAGAAAUCUUUCUCAAAACUCAUCCUUGUAGGCUUUUCAAUGGUGUUCUCAUUAUCACCCUCCAUGAGUGGACUUUGCCCAGGUCCCCUUCACUCCAUCUAGAUUCCCUAUGACAUAGAUCCAAUCCAAUCAUUCCCCAAAUUAAGAAUCCUUUACUGGUUCCUCCUUGUCUGUUAAAAUAGCAAAACAGUUCUGUAUAAACUGGCAUGUAAAAAAUAUGUCACUAACUAAAAAAAAAAAAAAAAAAAAAAAUCAAGGGGCAUAUAAUAAUUUUGCUUUUCUUUUGAAAAUGUGAUUUAAUUAUGCAUACAUAAAAAAAUUAAUGCAUAAAUUUAGGACAAAGAAAGAAUACCUUUCAAACCAUUAGCUCAGGUUUCCUUGCUCCAGUGUCCUCUCUCCCUGCUCCAUUCCACAUACCCUCUAGCUGUUCUAAACUUCCAUUCUUCCCCCAGCAGAUCACCCUCUUUCAAGUAACUAUGGCAUUGCCUAUUCUUUGCUUCUUACUGAAAUGCCUGUACUCCAUUCUUUGCCUGAACACUUUUACUUUUCCUUUUUUGAUUCAGAUCCAAUGACAACUCCUCUGGGAAGUCUUCUUCAGGUGACCCUACUGCAAGUCAAGGCUACUUCUCUCUCCCAGUGGCCUCAUAGUCGCUAGCUACUAGGUCUACUAUAAUUCCACUUAAUUUUGCUGUGGCUGAUGUGAUCAGACCAUUCUUUUUCCAACUGGAGAUGAGCUCUUGGAGAUGAGGACUGAAGUUUAUUCAUCUUGGUCUUCGGUAUCUAGCUAAGAGCCGGACUAAUAAUGGAUUCACAGAAAUUCUUGGUGGUUUCCUUGGUUGAACAGAUGAACAGACUCUUGCACUCAAGACAGAGCCAAGAGGUAAAGCUUCUGUGCUCUUCCAGAAAAAGUCUACUAGGUCCAAGUAAUCACAGUCCUGUUUCUGAGCUAGCUGGUCCCAUGCAAGGAGUUAUCGUUUUUUGUUUUUUUUUUUUUUUUUUUUUCACCAGCUUGUUGGCUGUCACCAAGCUGAGUGGUAAUUGUUGAUGUGGGCCUUUAAACACCACAAAGAUCAGUUGAAAAUGUGUUGCUAGGAGUGACUAACAAGAAAAUAAUGAGGCUAUGCCUAUUCUGAAAAUUGUCUAAGUGAUGGUGGGUUAUUUAUUUCUGUGUGGGUAUUUGCUUCUUUCUCUCGCUCAUCUCUUAAAAGAGAAAUCUUCAUGGCAGAAUCCUUCUUGCCCCCUCCAAAAAAGAAACUUUUCUUAUUGCUGGGAAAGAAGCUAAUUCAGGCUGUAAAAUAAAAUCCUGAGGGAGGAGAAUAACAGGGCUGAUAAACAAAGGGAAGUCAUGGAGGUAAGGGGUGUAGGAAUUUUCUUCAAGAGGAUAAGGACAAUCUCAUCAGAGCAAAUAUGAGUAAAGGAGAGAGGGAAGAGAAUGGGAAUUUUCUAUGUUUAGUAUGUAGUAAAUAUUUAAGCAUUCCAAUUUAAUUUUAUUCUCUGUAAUGAUUUACAUGACAGAUGAAUAAAGAAUGGAAUUCCUUUUAAAUUACAUGUUGGCUAUUGUCCUAUACUUCUUUUUUUAAAUUUUUAUUGUUGGUUGUUCAAAACAUUACAUAGUUCUUGAUAUAUCAUAUUUCACACUUUGAUUCAAGUGGGUUAUGAACUCCCAUUUUUACCCCGUACACAGAUUGCAGAAUCACAUCAGUUACACAUCCAUUGAUUUACAUAUUGCCAUAUUAGUGUCUGUUGUAUUCUGCUGCCUUUCCUAUCCUCUACUAUCCCCCCUCCCCUCCCCUGUCCUAUGCUUCUUAAAUAUGACACUGUCCCAAGGCCAAUACAUAAGAUCCAAGGCUUUGCAAAAGUUACAUCUACAAAUGGGUGAGAAGGGCCUGCAAAGAGAUGAGUUUGCCUUCUGUUCAGGACAUUGCUAGCUUUACAGCUGCUUUUGCCAGAAAAAAAUGGAUCUGGGGCAAGUAGAGACAGCAGAAGUCCAGAGAUGACCAGAUCUGGGGGCUGGGGAGACAGCCUGAACAGUGAAGCACUGGAUUUGGGGAAGUAAGGGUGGAGGGUCCCUCAAAAAGGCACUGUCCUCACCGUUCUCUGGAACUCUUAGGCCAUGGGUGUCUAGGAGCUCAAAUGGGUGGGUUGGAGGGAGGAAGGAUAAACUGAUUUUGAUACCAGUUUACAACUAAUGCUAGUAUGUUGAGCCAGUCUCAGACUGGACAGGCAUCCACCCAGACCAUGGACAUCCCAGGAGCCAUGAACCACUGGGCCAUGGAGAUCAGUCCUGAUAGGCAGUGGCUUUGGGAAAGUCUUGGUUUCUAAUAUCCCAAUUAUAGUUCACUCAAAGAAAAGUCUCUGAGAUAUAUUGAGAAUCCUCCAGUGUGACUUCAGACUGUAAGAUUAGAAAGGGAAGGUCUCUGAGGCAAGGUCAACAGAGAGACAGCAAAACAGACAUUUGAUUGAAAGUGGGAAGAGAUGCUCUAGACCACCACAGACACUGUGGGUCCAGACUUAUUGCUGGAAAGAUGUGCUUGACUGAGGGAAGAGCAAAGGCAGAGCAAGGUGGCUUAGAGAAGAGAGAUACCAUUCUGGUUGGAUAGGUGUAGUGGACCUCAAAAGCCAGCAGACCUGGGCUUGAUGCCUUGCUUAUUGCUGACAUUUUAUUUAACAUUGGGCUUUUAAUGUCUUAAAGUAUUUGUUGCAUUGUGCACCUUCUACAAAAAUAUACAUUCUACAAAAAUAUUGAGCACUCCUGUAUACGAGGUACCUACUGGACUAGGUGCUGGGGAUGCAGAGUGAAUAGAUAGAUGUGGUCCCUGUCUUCUUGGGCUCACAUUCUACAGGAGAAAUCAAAAUGUUGGUUGGGGUCCAACAUGUUGGUUUUGGAACUGACUCCCUUACCAAGACUCCUAAAGUGCAAGAAGUCAAAUAAAAAAAAUCAAUAAAUGGGAUGGCAUCAAAUUAAAAAGCUGUUUCACAGCAAAGGAAACAAUUUGUGAGCAGGAAGAAAGAGCCUACAGAAUAGGUGAAAAUCUUUGCCACAUGCUCUUCAGAUAGGGCAUUAAUAUCCAGGAUGUAUAAAGAACUCAAAACACUUACCACCAGAAACCAAAACCCAAAAACAAAUAACUCAUUUAAUAAAUGGGCAAAGGAAGUGAAUGGGCACUUCACAGAAGAAGAAAUGCAAACAGUCAACAAACACGUGUAAAAUGUUCAACAUCUCUAUUAAUCAGAGAAAUGCAAAUUAAAACAACGCUGAUAUUUUAUCUCACUCCAGUAAGAAUGGCAAUUUUCAAGAAUACAAGUAACAAUAAAUGUUGGUGAGCAUAAAGGGAAAAGGGUACACUCAUAUAUUUUUAGUGGGACUGCAAACUGGUGCAACCACACUAGAAAUCAGUUUGGAGAUGUCUCAAAAAAACAAAACAAAACAAAACAAAAAAACCUAGGAUACCACUCAGCUAUCCCAUUCCUUGGAAUAUAUCCAAAGGACUUAAAAUCAGUAUACUACAGUGAUGCAGCCACAUCAAUUUUUGUAGUAGUUCAAAAAAAUUCACAAUAGCCAAGCUAUGGAACUAAACUUGGAGCCCUUCAACAGAUGAACGGAUAAAUAAAAUUUGGUGUCUGUACACAAUGGAGUACUACUCAGCCAAAAAUAAGAAUGAAAUUAUGACAUUUUCUGGUAAAUGGAUGAAUCUGGAAACUAUCAUGCUAAAUAAAAUAAGACAGUCCCAUCCCCAACAGUCAAAGUUUGAAUGUUUUUCCUAAUAUGCGAAGCUCAUCCAAAAUUAGAUGGAGGGGUUAAAGAAGAAUAAAACAAAGAUCAAUGGAGUAGACAAAGGGGAACAAAGGGAAGGGAGGAGGGAUGGGAUAUGGAAAGAUGGUGGAAUGAAUUUGACCUAAUUUUCCUAUGUACAUAUAUGAAUAUUCCACAGUGAAUCUCACCCUCAUGUACAUCCACAAGACAUUAAAAAAAAAAAAACUAAGUAAAUAGCAGAAAGAUCAGUAGAGGGAAGGGAACAGAGAGGUGAAGAGAGGGGAGGGGAGGGGAAGGAGAAAGAAGUACUGGGAGCUGAACGGGAACAAAUUAUAUUCCAUGCUUUUAUAAUUAUGUCAAAAUAAAUUCUAUUAUCAAAUAUAACUUAAAAGAACCCAUAGGGAAAAAAAUGUUGGUUGAAUCUGAAUCCCUGCCACCUACUGCCUUCCUGCCACAUCUCUUUCUGUGGGACAGGGCUUUGGCCAGUACUUUCAAAAAUUGUUAGCAGGGAUAAGGGGAGGCUCAGAACACCACAGUUUAGGACAGAUCAGAAAAUGAAUCUGAUCUCCUGGCCACAAUCAUCGUCUCCAGCAUGAGGGAUUUGUGGAGAAGCUGGGAGGUUCCAGAACAAAGCCAGGAAAUGAUGACAGCCUCCUUCCAGGCCUUUCCAAGAAAGCUAUAAAUCUUUUUCCCGGUCUACACAAGAAGCAAAAAUAAAUUUUAGUAACUUUUCUAACAUCAGUAGGAUAGUUGACAGCCCACUCUAGGGACUGAACAGAGAGUUGGAAAGACAACCCAGGUAGAAAAAUGAAGUGUGACCACAAGUGUGAAGGUAAAAAUAUCAUAGAGGCAAUUUAAUUAUAUAUGUGGCAGUUUUCUUCCUGCUCUGUCUCCAGCACACUUGUAGACAGAGUGACCAAAUAGCCCAUAUGAGUGCUUAUUAUUUGAUUCUUUCCUUUAAAGUGAAUACCAAGGAAACAUUCCCCAGUGUUGAUGGUUUCCAUCUAUGGUGUGUGAGCAAGCAUGGACACCGUAGGCUGAGGGAAGCUUAGUUUCAUUGGGGAUGUGCUUGAGGUCUCUAUUUGGUUUCAAGGCUGUACUUCACCUCGUCCAUCCAGCUCACUGUCCAAGGGCUGAUCUGUGGGGUCUCCACAAGACCCCAGCUUGCAGGCUUGUGGCUGGGUUGAGCCAAUGAGAAGAACUGGUGAAAGAUAUUCUAAGGGCUUUGGGGAAAACAGGGUGGGGCCUCUAUCCAGCCUCUGCCUUGACAGCUGCUGGAUUCCUUUAUGGAUGUGGACAGCUCCCCUUCUCUGAGGCUACAGUUCCUACUGGGCUCAGGUAAAUGCACCUUCCAACCCACUGUUGCCAGCCCUGGGGCUCCAUUACCCCUGUCCAGAUGCUGUAAAUUGUCUUUUGAUAAACUUCUUAGUCACCCCUCUGGGUGUAAGUGCCAUCUGUCUCUAGCUGGAAUUCUGACUCAUAUACUCUCUGAAUUGGACUUGAGGAAUUUCUGAAAUUUCAUGGAACAUUUACUUUAACAAAAAUGUUUUGAGCAAGUACUUCAUAAUGCUUAAACAAUUGAUACCUAAACAUUUUUGAGUGCCUGGUAUGUUCCAGGUGUCACACUAAGUGAUUUCUAUGAUUUAAUCAUUACAACAUCCUUGUGGUUACUUUUUUUAAAACUUCUCUUUGCUGAGAGCCAUAGCCAAGUAGGAAUGACAUGGCAUUUUUGGUUAAGGUGACCCUGCUCAGGGUUUAGGGUGGCUCCAGGUUUAGGGUGGAUCCUGCUGGAUUAGGGUGGCUCCAGGUUUAGGGUGGAUCCUGCUGGAUUAGGGUGGCUCCAGGUUUAGGGUGGAUCCUGCUGGGAAUAGGGCGUAUCCUGCUGCCUCAGGCGCCCACUCCUUGAGUUCCCGUGGAGUUCUCGUGGGGUUCUGAGAGAAUUGGUACGCAGAGCCCAGUGAAGGGAGUGUAUUUUCCCAGAACGUGCCUGUAGAGUGUCGGUGAGAGUUCGGGAAUAAAGAGUUGCUGUUGGAAUCUACAAGGCUUUGUGGUGGCUCGGUUAUUUUGUGCCCAGACAAAUUGCGGCAUCUCUUCAAGCAUGAAAACUAAUGUUCAUUGCAUAUAAGCACAUUUGCCCAAGGCUGUAACACAAGAAACUACAGGGAGAGAUUUCAUGCCCAGAUACAUUUCAGUUUUAAGGUUUUUUUUAAGCUUCUAUUCUUUAUAGCCUGUUACAUAAAAUAUAAUUAUGAUAGAGUAUUUGGAAGAAUAAGGAAAAUUAGAGGAAGAAAAAGAACUCUGCCACGCUGCAGUGUGUGUGCCUGUUUUGUGCUGUUGUGACAGAAUAUCACACAUUGGUUGCUUUAUAAUGAAAAGAGAUUUAUUUCUUAUAGUUUUGGAGUCUGGGAAUUUGAAGGUCAAGGAACCCGCAUCCAGUGAGGACUUCCUUGCUAUAUUAUUCCAUGGUGGCAGAAGGUGGAAGGUCAAGAAAGUACUUGAGAAUGAGAGGGAAGAGGUCUGAAUUCAUCUUUCAUCAAGAACUCACCCUCACAAUAACUAACCUCCUCCUGAUCUAAUGGUAUUAGUGCACUUAUGAGGACAGAAACCAGGACCUAAUCACCUCUUAAAAGUCCCAACUCUCCAGUCACAACAAAUUUAUUUAAAAAUGUUCAACAUUUUUAACAAUUAGAGAAAUGUAAAUUAAAACUGCACUGCGAUUUCAUCUCACUUCAGUCAGAAUGGCAAUUAUCAAGAAUACAAGUAACAAUAAAUGUUGGCGAGCAUAAGGGGAAAAGCGUACACUCAUACAUUUCUGGUGGGUCUGCAAAUUGGUGUAAUCUCUUUGGAAAGCAGUAUGGAGAUUUUUCAAACAACUAGAAAUAGAACCACCAUUUGACCCAGAUGUCCCAUUCCUCAGUAUAUAUCCAAAGGAUUUAAAAUCAGCAUACUACCGUGAGGCAGACACAUCAAUGUUUAUAGCAUAAACUAAGUUAUUCACAAUAACUAAGCUAUGGAACCAACCUUGGUGCCCUUCAACAGAAUGAAUGGAUAAAGAAAAUAUGGUAUAUAUACACAAUGUAAGCCAUAAAAGAUUGAAUUUAUGAUAUUUAAUAUUCAUGGAUGGAACUGGAGACUAUCAUGCUAAGUGAAAUAAGCCAAUCCCAAAAAACUAAAGGUCAAAUGUUUUCUCUGAUAUGUGGAAGCUAACCCACAUUAAGGGGAAGAGGAAAGAAUAGAUAUUCAGUAGAUUAGACAAAGGGGAAUGAAAGGAAGGGAGGGGAUAUAGGAAAAGGAAAAACACUAGAAUGAAUCUGAAAUAAUUUUUCCAUGUCCAUAUAUGAAUACACCAUAGUGAAUCUUACCAUUGUGUACAUCCAUAAGAAUGGGGUUCUAACCAGACUAACCUAUAUUUCAUACUUGUACAAUUAUAUCAAAAUAAAUUCUACUGUCAUGUGUAACUAAAAAGAACCAAUAAAAAAAUUCCCAGUUCUCAACACUGUUGCUUUGGGGAUUAAGUUCCCAGCAUAUGAAUUUGGGGGCAGUUUCAAACCAUAGCAAGGGGCAAACAUACACAGAUAACUGGAUGACUAAUUUUAUCUGGCCAACUGAGAGUUGGAGGGGAGUAUUUGGGGGGAGAACAAUAUGUGCAGUGAUCGGCUGGUAAACACUUGACAACUGGUCCCCUCUUCCCCCUGAAAGCCCUAAUUCAUAGUGUUGUAGUGUAAAUACUUGCCCAGCCCUGACUUCAAGCUCCCAAUAUGACAUUACUAAAUGGGGAGGUGGGAAGACAUGGGCACAAUCGGCUCUUGAAAGUCAGUACAAGCCUGCUCCAGUACACCACUGCCGUUACGUGAAGGGCUGGAGUCCCGAGCUAGCCUGGUGUGUCUGGGGUACUACAAGUGGAAAAGAGCUGCUGGAGUACAAGGGACACAUGGUGAGGGACAAUGGGAUGGGGACAGGGAUGAGCCUGGAACGGAGGAAGAAAGGCCCAGGGAGAAGACCGUGGCUGAUGGGCUAGAGCUGUGCUUUGCAAUUUGAUGGCCAUGCCCUGCUACCAAGAGCUUGAAACGUGGCUUUGAGCGAAAUAUAUAUGCCAGAUUUUUAAAAUCUAAUAUGAGAAAAAAGAAUGCAAAGGGUAUCAUUAAUAGUUUUUAAUAUGUUUUACUUUUAUAAUACUUUAUACAUGUAAUAUACAUGUAUAUACAUGUAAUAAUGAUUCCAUAUUAAAAUGAUAUGUUUUAGAUAUUAUAAUAUCCAAAUAUUGUUUUACUUUUUUUUUUUUUUUGGUAGUUGGGUUUGGACAGAAUGCCUUUAUUUUUAUCUAUUUAUUUAUUUAUUUAAUGUGGUGCUGAGGAUCAAACCCAGUGCCUCACACAUGCUGGGCAAGUGCUAUGCCACUGAGCUACAGCCCCAGCCCUUUAUUUUUACUUUUUAAAGUAUAGCAGUUAGAAAAUUUUAAAAAUUAUCUAUGUAGCUGGUAUUGUAUUUCUUUUGAACAGCCCUGGGCCAGAGAACUUGGACUUUAUAAAGGCUAUAGAGUUUUAGAUGAGUACUAAACAGAUGUGGCCUGCUUCCCAUCAAGAUCAAUCUGGUGCCAUAUGGAGUUUGCUGAGUUCUGGUGGGAGAAGAGGGAUUAUUGAGAGAGUCCAGGUCAGAGGGACAUGGGACUAAAUUUAGACAAAGGGGGUGAGAGGAAGAAGGAGAAAGCAGAAUGGGUAUGGGAUGGUGUGGCCAAUUGAAUGUGGGAGAUGGUAAGAGAGAGGGAUCAAGGGUGAUGGGCAGGUGUCUGUCUAGCUGGAAAUGGAAUUAACAGAAGAUUUCUUGUAGGCGAGGCAUAGGUUUGGUUUCAGACAUGAUGAGUUUGAGGUGCAGAGAACUUGCAAGAGUUCAACUGGCAAUUGUGCAUAGGUGGCUGAAAUUUUGUUGGCUCCAUCUUAAAACACAUCCCAAAUGGACUGUUUCCUACCACUUCUAUUGCUUCUACCCUAAUCCAAGCCACUCUAGUCUCUUAUCUGGAUUAUUGUACUUGCCUACCAGCUGAACUCCUUGCUAACACAUGUGCCCUGCUUUUCUCAAGUCUCAAUGCAGUAUCUGGAGUAAUCUUGUUAAAAGUCACAUCAGAAUACAUCCUUUCUCCCCUCAAAUUUCCAGUGAAUUCCAUUGCACUCAGAGUUCAUGCCAUUCUGUACAAUGACCCCUAGCCCUGUGUGACCUGGCCCCUGCUGCUCUCUGAGCUCCCACUACUCUGUCCCUCAGUGACACUGGCCUCCUUGCUGUUCCUAGAACUCUCCAGAACCCUCCUGCCCAGGGGCCUCUGUGCCUGGUACUCUGCCUCAAAGGCUCUUCCCUUGGAUCUCUGAGGAGUUCUCUCCCUCACCUCCUCCAGGUCUUGAUACAUCUGUUCCCUUCUCAGUGAAGCCUUCUUUUUCACCCCAUCUAAAAUGACACCCCAUUCUUUCCUUUCCUUUUCUGUAUCUUGUCAUUAGCUCAUCACAUUGAGAAUGUUACUUAGCAUGUUUAAUGUUCUUGUCCCUCAAGGGAAUGGAAGCUCUGUAAGGCAGAGAUUUUGUUUUAUUCUGUUGUGUCCCCUGUGUUUCAUAGUAGGUACUGUAUUAGAGUGUGUUGAAUGAACAAACAAACUCUAGUAUAUCAGCAAGUAAAUACCUAUAUCCUAGAACAGUCCUGCCUUUGGGAGCCCACCUCUGGUGCUUGUAAUUGUGACCUUGGGCUGGUUAUUUACCAUCUCUGAGCCUUCAUUUUGUCAUCUGUGGGAUGGAGAGAUUAAUACCACCUUCCACAAAAUAUGAUUGUAAAGAUUCAUCCAUUUAAUCGUUGUGGAGCCCCCACCCUGUGCCAGGAGGCAUGCUUAAGGGGGAUUAAGUGAGAGAUUGUUUUUAAGAUCCCAUGACACUGUGUCUGGCAUCUUGUAAAUGUUUACACUUACUGAGCAUUAGCAGCAGGAGGAGGAGGAUCAGGAAGAGGAGGGUCAGGCAUAUAAAAAGUGAGCUGGUAUGAGCUGCAGACCAGGGAGUGAGCAGACGCUGGAAAUAAAUGAACCAUCCCAGGGGAUAAGAGCAGAAUGGGAGGGAGGGAGGGAGGGGACUGGGCUGGCCUUGCUGAAUUCACAGGGUGAUGCUCAGUGGAUGGGAGGGGAAUUCCAGUGACAGUAACAGCCAACUAAUCAGUCUCCAGGACCCAAGUCCUGAAGGAGAGCAGACAUGGACCUCCCCAAAGCCACGAGUCAUUGCUUCUAGAACACUGCGGGGGCGAGGGUGGGAUUGGGGGCACUGCAGGAAACAAGGAGAACAUGGUAACAUAAUGUGACAGGGUCCCACCACUUCAGACUGGAGUAGGGCUGGACUGGGCCUCCUAGGUGUCAUGACUUGAGAAUACUUUACGAAAGGGCAGCACCUCCUGUGGGCAGCAGAGGCAACUAAGAGUGUGUAAGGGCUCUCAGGAGGCAGAGGUCCAUAGGCCGCUGUGUCUGAGAGGGUUUUGAGGUGGCAUGAUAUGAAGGCCAAACAUCGGAAUGUCACAGGUCAGGCAAGAGAAGAGCGCAGGAUGAGAAGCCCUGCCUCUUCCUUUUGGCCUUGGAUGUCUCUGGACCUGGCCUUGUUGCCCUGGGCUGAGCUUUGCUUUAGUCUUUCUGAUGGAUUUUUCCAGCAAACAUCCGAGGACUUUUAACUGCUUGAAAGUGUAAAAGAAGUCCCCACUCCCACCUGGGAUCUAGGCCCCAGGAUAAGGGACUGCCAGACAGUAGGUGUUUCCAUGACAUGCACUCCUCAGGCUACUUCAGGGCUGGCUGACUACCCUCAGAAGCCCUGAUGGUGUCACAGUGUCCCCAUCAUGAAGCUGGGGACCCUACCAUUAUAUGGAACAGAACAGCCAAGGUAGACCUGAAAAGUCAAAUCCUGUAGUAUAGCCACACACUCAAGUAAAAUGCAUCCUGCAAACACAUACCCCUUAGGGCUCAUUUCCUCACUCUGUCAAUAAUGUCUGUUGCAUAUAUGCAGUGCAUGAAUAAUCAUAGUAAGAACUCCUAUGAGGUCAUGAUGGGGGAGUCACUGCCUGUGCCUGCACUCAGAAACCACCCCCCCCCCCCACAUCCUUUCUGUGAAGUACAGUGGUGAAAGAAGUGGGUUCUAGAGCCAGAAAGCUUUUUGAUUCACCUAUUGCCUCCUCUACCUACUAGCUUUAUAUCCUCAGGAAAACCACUUCAUCUCUCCGGACUUGGUUUCUUCAUCUGUAAUAUAAGGCUCAUGGCAGAAUUCAAGCCAAUAAGGUUGUUUAAAAGAUUAAAUAUAGAGAAUAUAGGAAGUGCUCAGAACAGUUCCCAGUAGAUAUGAUUGCUGCUUGUUAUACUAAAACAUGUAUGUAUAUAUAUCCCUUAGCAAACACGGAUCUUUUGCUAGGUUUUGGAGGUUGGGAUGUGACUUUGUAAUUCACUUGAAAUGACCCUUCAUGACUAGGGAGAAAAAAAAAAGCUUUUGUGACCCUCAGUGCACUUCUCUCUGCUUCCUCAUGUGCUCUUCAGACCACUUAUCAGUUCUGCCCUCUGAUUGCAUAACUUCACCCAAGCAGGAUAUUUCCAUUCCAGACUAUUGCACUGAGGACAAUGUUUAUUUUAACACAGACUAGACAGUGUUUAAAGCCAUGGGGGCCUCUCUCUUGGAAAGGAUCAGUCCCAUGCUUUAGGAGCCAACAACCCCCAACUCAUUACAUCCAUGUAGUUAAAUUGAAAAUGUCAAGCUAUUUAACAACUUUGUACUAAAUACUUGGAGGUCGUAAAUACUUCAAUGAAAUCAGAUAUUUUUCUUUUCAAGUUACAAAUCUUCCUUUGCUGCUCUUCAAGAGUCUGUACUCUACUUUAAGCCUAGUGGUAUGCACUUUCCAUGGAGCUGCCCAUUUGGUUUUCAUAGGGUCCUAAGCUGUGCUCACUUGCUAUCUCUGUUUUGUGGAAGAGGAAGUGGAUGUAUGUUGACUUGCUCCAGCUCAUAUGGCUGGUAAGUGGAAGAGGCUGACAGAGGCCAUACUCUUGACCAUGCUCCUUAUUCUUGUGCAACAGUGCUAGCUCUUGUCAUCAGUGGGCCACGAUGCUGCACACACUGCUAGAUGUCUGUGGGCUUCAGUUUCCCUAUUUUAAGGGGCUGGUCUAGAUACUUCCCCAAGGAUAGGAUCUCUGGGUUCCUAUGCUCUCCAUCAAGGGCUUCCAGGGUUCUAUCAGAUUGCUUGGCACUGGAAGGAUCCAGAGGUAAUAUCAUGGCCUCUGGCUCUGCGGGAAGUUUAUAAUAUUAUUGGGGACAUGAUUGGCAGUAUAAGAGAGUUAAUUAUUUUCCCACAGUGUGAUUCAGACCAGAGUGUAAAGAUUCUGGGAAGGCAGAUGAAUCUCACUUAGUGGAAAAAUGGAUCAUCUUAAAAGGAGAGCAAAUCUUCCUUACUAUCUGCUAAAAACUACUUCUCUCUUAAGCAAGAGCCAGACGUGCUUGUCUGGUGGACACAUCAUCACCAUCUGACUCCCAGUCCAGCCAGAUACACCCAACCCUCAGACAGGGAGCCCUGGGCAGCUGGCGGAUAUGCCACAUUUCAACGAAAGCAUGAACACUUCGAGGGUGUGUUUGUUUUUUUCCUACACAGAACAUACUUCCAUAUGCUGAAACAUUUUCUCCAUCAGACCCAUGCUUGGGAAGAUGUGUGCUGAGGAAGCAGAGCUCAGGGAGACAGAGGUCAAUUCACAGUUGCGUAAAAGUCAUGGAGGGGAGCAGCGGGUGGAGACGCCACAUAUGCUAAAGCUGAAUUUCUUUAACCAUAAAGAACUGGUUGUGAGCAGAAACAGUUUGCCUGGGUUUGAAGCCAUGACACCAGCAAGUGGAACCGUUGGAUGUGUUACACUUCCAGUAAGUGUAAACUAGCUUUGCAAGCUAGGGAGUAUUUUAAAGAGUUGAACUUGGGUUCACUAAAUGAGCUGAAGAGUGAGUCUCAGGUUGGUUUUGUCUCAGUGCUGUGGCAUCUGCCACAGGAUCUUAUUUCUUAACCUUUCUCUUGGUUUUCCCUGGGGGUGUAAGCCAGUCCUGCUCUUCAUUCCAAAGCAAGGGCAACAGCACCCAUUUCCAGGGUUUCACUGUUCAGCAACUGGCUGAUGACUCUCAACUCCAAAGGUGCAGCUAAGAAGUGGCUCAGAAGCUCCAGACCCAUAUAUGUUGCUAUCUUCUGGGGACCUUUGUUCAUAGUGCCACAGGUACCUACUUCUCAACUAAACACCCCAAACCUGCUUUUCCUCCUAUGCCUCCUAACUUAGUGAAUGGCCCUCACUCAUGCUCCCCACCCCCACAUCCAAACACCAGCAGUUUCCUCCUCUGUAAUGAUUUCCAUUGCAUAUGCACACCUGGGUCUGGGGCCCAGCCUCUCCUUCCUAUAGCAACCAUUACAUGGGUCCCUGUCUUCCUGUCUUUGAACCUAUUCUCCACAUAGCAGCUAGAGAACUUCUACAGCACAAAUAGGAGGUGUGAAGUCCUUUCUGAAAACUCAAAGGCUUUGGGGAUUUAUCCCAAACUCCUCAUUCUUAGGUUGGUCUUGACUUUUUCUUCAGUGGUCCCCUGGCUCAGCUCUCAUGGGAUCCUCUCUCUAGAGUUCAAGAUCAGAGGGCAGAAGAGAAGAAUCUGUUAAAUGAAAAAUAUUCCUACCAGCCCACAUGUUCUGAACUCAGAACAUGUCAAUAGAAUCAAAAACUUCUAUUUUUAAUGCUAAGGUAUCAGACUAACCUGAUCAAAAUCAAUGAGGAAAAGACAAAUGAUCUAAGAUAAGCACAGAAGAUAGCCAGGGAAGCAGGACACAGCUUUUCCUGUUCUACCUGGCCAGAGCUGACCACUCCCUUGUUGGUGCCUCACUAAACCUUACGGGUAGCUCUCAGGACACUUUGCACAUUGUGAUAUUUUCUUUGUACAAUCAGCAACUUGGAUUCAGGAAAGAUGUGUCUUCCUGUAUUCUAAGCAUAAGGAUGAGAAUAUUCUCUGUAAUAUGAAUGUAAAAUUGCUUAAUCACAACAUUAUGCUUCCUCCCCACAUCAACCAGGAACAUUUGUUUCAUUAAAAUGGCUUGUUUUAAAAUGAUGACUCCAUGUUACAAAGAACUGAUGUCUUUAUUAAACAUCUUGCUCUUACAUACCAAUAAAAGAAAUACACUUAAGAGGAAAAAUUGGCCAAGACAUUCAUAGACAAUUUCCAAAUGAAACUAAACAAACGCUAAUUAAACAUGACAGAUGCUCAGUCUUCCAUGUAAGAUAUAAAAACUUAAAAUAUUCCUCACAUCUCAGGAUGUGAGGAAUAGGUACUCAGAUAUAACAUUGGUGGGAAUGUCAAUAUAUAGAACCUUCCUGGAGGGAGACUAAGCAACAGUCAUUCAAAAUUUAGAAUCUGCAUAAUCUUGUCCCAGAACUUCUAGGAAUUUGUUCUACAGGAAUAAUCACAAGUUUAUGUGAGAUAAUAUUUAAUUGUGACAUUGUUAACAAGAGUCAAAAUGUAAAAAAGUCAAACUUUCAUUCAUGUUAAACAAAUCAUGGUGCCAACACAAUAUUAGGCAAUUGUUAAAAGAAGCAAAUCCCUAUAGAUCUUCAUGUUUACAAAGAAAAAUGUUCAUAAUAUAGCAAGUGAAUGAGGCAGAUUGAAUAGGCAUCUACCUAUCCAUCCUUCCACUCCAUUCUUCCAUGCAAGAAAAAAGUGAAUGAAAAUGUCUCAAACCGUGAACAGUAAUUAUCAGUGGAUGAAGCUGACUUAUCAGUGACUUCCACAUUUUAUUUCAUAUUUUGAAGAUUUUGCAAUGAGCAGGUAUUACACUCGUAACAACAGCAAAAACAUUAAGUAUUGCCAAUUUGGGGAAAAGUUUUUCUUACUAAAGAGUAAUUUGAGAGACUUAUUUCUUCUGGCAUGUGGGGAACAUGUCUCAUGGAAUACUUUCCUGUUCUGAGGGCCCUCAGCUUGGUGGUUUAGCUCCUGGUACCAGGCUUGGUAGCACAUAGAAUUUGUGUUGCUUUUUUGACUUCAUUUUUUCUACUAACUCCUAAGAAACCACAGGAUAAAUUUUCACAUCUAGCUUUACCCCAUCAAAAAGAAAGAAGUUACACUCAAUUUUAAACUAUGGAUAAAAAUGGUAAAUGAAACCUAAAAUAACAAAUAACACAAAUAAUAGCUAAUUCAUUUUAUGUCUCCCAAAUCAUCCUUUGGCACUUGUUCUCAAGACAAAAUGAACUUAUUUCUAAUUUCCCUUUUGCUCUUACAACGUGCUUUUUAAAAAUUAGUUCAUUAUAGCUAUAUACAAUGUUGGGGUUCAUUUUGACAUCAUUAUACAAGCAUGGAAUAUAAUUUACUCCAGUUCUGUCCCCCUUACUUCCCCAUUCCCUCUUCUCCUCCCUCCCCCUGCUCCCUCUCCUCUACUGUACUGAUCUUUCUUCUAUAUAUUUAUAGUUUUUUUUAAAAAAAAUGUGCAUUAUAAUAUGCAUGCAGGUAAAAUUCACUGUGGCUUUUACCUGAAUCAUUCUUAGAGAAUGCUUGCUGGUUCCUAUUGAUCAGUGAUUCCUUUUCUCUCCAAUCACAUCAGGUAAACUAAAAUGAGCUCACGAUUUUUCUUGGGUUUAAUGGUAUGUUCAUUUGACUGUGGAUUCUGGAAGUUCCUCCUUUUCCCUUAGCAAACUGUAAGGUUUUUGCCUUUUAAUCCAUCACAUCAAUGAAUUUUAUAUUGGUGGGACCUGAUAAGCUGGAAAAGCAAAAACUUUGUACACUCUGAUAAGAAGCAUGACUUUUAGUGGUUGGGAGAUAAAUCCUUCAGGGAUAAAAGUCUGUGUCACCUCAAUAAGCAACCUUCAAGUCCAGCACUCGUACUAGCUGACAAUGAAUGAAAUCUAGAAAGAGUAGUAGGGGAGGGAGAUGAUGAAUAUCAGUAGCCUAAAGGCCGGAUGCAACAGAGGGGUUAUAAGGAAAUAGGUGUCUUAUCUCACUAACUUUCCUCGUUAGAUUUCCCCCAGAAACUAUGAGCAUCUGCCAUCUUGAACACAAAUGGCAAGAUAAAGUGAACCUGAUGGAAAAUGUGAACCGGUCUCAGUGGUGCAAGGGGUGGUCUAACACCGUCACAGUUUCGCCCAGAGGCCCUUGGAUCUACUUUUGUUGUUUCUGUGAACACCAUUGUGCUUUCACCCAAAAGCUUUUUCUUCUAAUGGCCCCUCCUCCGCAACUGGUUAUUAGACUGCUUAGCCACAGUGCAGAGCCCAGAUGUGCCUGUAGGUUUCCAUUUCCUCUGGUUCUCCAUUGCCAGGGGAUGACAGUUUGUCAGCAUGAAGCCCUGCUCCCUGCCUCCAUGAGGACAAACUCACUCAAGUCUCUGCCUUAUGAGACUUCACCUGAUGUCACACCCUGGACUGGCUUCUUUCUGUUCCCCAGCCACCUUCCCCCACUCCCUGGCUGGGGCCAGUGUCUUCCUGGAGUCCAUCCUUGCCAAAUCUCUUGCACAAGAACCUUCUCAGGAUCUCCUUCUGGGAAAUCUCCCAUAAAUGAUAGGAUAGUAGAUAACAUUGACUGGGACAGUUUUUACCAUGUGUCAGGCACUGCCAUAGAGAUGGGGUUUUUUGUUUGUUUGUUUCUGUUUGCUUUUUUUUUUUUAAUAUUUAUUUUUUUAGUUUUAGGUGGACACAGUACCUUUAUUUUUUAUUUUUAUGUGGUGCUGAGGAUUGAACUCAGUGCCUCACGAAUACCAGGCAAGAGUGCUACCACUUGAGCCACAUCCCCAGCCCCGUUUCUUUUUGCUUUUAACAUGUCCUGCUUCACCUAGUCUUCCAGAAGGCUGUCAGGGGGAACUUGUAUAAUCAGCCCCUUGGUAGGAUGUCUUAGACUUAAGAACUCAGACCCUGAAGCCCAACAGCAUGAAACCACAUUUUAUUUCUCUCAAUUAUCAACUAUAUGACCUUGGACAAGUUACUCUCCUCACCCACGAAAUGGUUAUAAUAAUAGAACCUAUUUCACAGGUUGGUGAUGAAAAUUUGAUGUGCCAGCAUGAGUCAAGUAUUGGAGUGCUACACAGGUACAUGUUAAAUGAACAAAUACUUCACACAGGUCAACCCAGCCUUACAAAGAGAUUAAUCAGCUUCUCAAGUUCCCCCACUUAGGUGGACAAAGUCAGAAUUCAAACCCAGAUCUGCAUGAGUUCAAAGCCUAAUCUCUUAACUACGAUUCUAUGCCACCUGGGUCAGGCCUACGGCCCGUCCUUUGUCUUCAUACCUUUCAAAUUGUAUUUUCCCACAAAUCUCCUUGCCCAUCCCCAGCUUGUCUUUGCCGGCAUUCUCUUCUCUCAACAGGAGGAACUGGGUCUCCCAGCAGAUGUUCUGGGGGGUGGGGGAGGUCAGCUCUCUGUCGCUGCUGAGUACCACCUUGCCUUAGCAGGGUCAGCACACUGUGUUAAUUCUCGAGGGGCUUUCUCUACAGACCUCAUUAUUUUCUUCAUCAUUUCUGUAUUCUCCCCACCAAAAAGCACAGUCUCCUUCACUACUGAAGUCAUGAGUACCUCUUUAUUUUAAUUCCAACAUCAUUUUCCAUUUUCCUAAUAGCAAAAGCAAAAUGGGCUAUUAAAUAUUAUUUCGUGUUCAAUAUUAAAAACAUAUUGAACACGAAAGGGGAGGGAAGUGAGAAAACUCUCACUUGCUGCCCAUGUGGCUUUCUGAGGCCACUUCAACCACCCAGGCCUUGACUCACCAGGGCCCAUCACUUGGCUCCUCGAGAGUUCCAGGAUGACACACCUGGCACGACUGACCCAUGUCCUUAUAUGGCAGCCUCUGUGCCUGGUGCCGGCUUCCCUGGCCUGCAUUUCACUAGGCGAUGAAGCAAUGUCCCCUGCAUGGGAAGGGCGGGGAGCAGCUUGCUCCUAAUUCUACGUAGCUCCACUCAGGCAGCCCUACUUCCUUUUUUGUUGGAUCGAAAGUGAAAAAUAGAAUUCUGGGAGAACAUGAGGAAUGGGGCCACUUUUUUCCAUGUGAUGCAUUUAGUAACAUUUCUUGGGCAGCUGCUCUGUGCCUGGUACCCUAGUAUUUACAAGAAAGGGAAGAGACAGAGUCAUCGUGCCUGGUUAUGACACGAGGUUUCUCUUUCUGUGUGUGUGUGUGUGUGUGUAGGGGGGAGUGGAUGGGUUGUUUCAAAGUCCCUUUGGGUCCCAGGUCUUGGGAAGGAAGAGUAGAUUGGAAAAGGAAAGUUCACAGUUAAUGUCAUUUGUAUCAGUGAUGGAGCACAGUGAUUUACAUACAUUACCUCACAUAAUCCUCAGGGACUAAACAUCUACAGUGAAGUAAGUGUCCUGGGUUAACAUGAAAAUUCCCUGAAAUACCUGCCCUGGUUUAUCUUGCUUUACUUCAGAUCCCCGAAGUUAGGCAGAAUGAGGCCCCCUAAGAUUAUUUACAUCUUACCCUCAAGGAAUAUUUUGUUUCAACUUUAAUACUUAUAUCUCUGAUCGGUCACCAAAGUUUGGUUCCAAUUAAGAUAACUGAAUAAAUGGUAACUGCCUAAUUCCCUGGCCCCCAUCCAGACUGCCCACAGAUGACCAUCAGGACUCCUGGAGCCCAAGGACAUCACUCGUUCCUGACUGCACCUCCACACUAACCUUAUUGAGGCAGGAGAGACUCUUCUCCCCAGCACUGGGGAGGUCAUACCCCAUACUGACCCAGAUGCUCUUCUGAGUAAAGGGCUUAAGAUCAAUUUGAUGCCUGGGUUUCCUUUGGAGAAGGGGUGAUCCUUAUAUGUAUUCUUUCCUAUCUAUUUUCACAGCCUUGAGCAUGACAAGGACAAUCAGGUGAACAUUCUACUGGAAGCACUGGGAGCAUACCUAAAUGACUUCUCUAGGAUUCACACAUCAACCACGCUCCCCUCUCCAAGGUUCCCCAUCCUCGUCUUCCUCCUCUUUGCUCUCUCUACUUGGACCCCAUUGCUGCCUGUUGCUCCUCAUACACUCAAGUUAGGAUUGCCACUUAAAAUACCAGAUUCAAAGUUGAAUCUGAAUUUCAGAUAAACAAUGAAUAGUUUCUUUAAUAUGAAUAUCAUAGUGAUUUGAAUAUGUGUCAUCUCCAAAAUUCAUGUUGAAACCUAAUCUCCAAUGCAGUAGUAUUAGGAGGUGAAGCCUUUCUGAGGUGAUUACAUAACAAGGGGAAGCCUUCAUGGAUGGGAUUAGGACCCCCUAUAAAAGGGGUCCAGGAAGCAGGACUCUUCCACCUUGUGAGGAUGCAGCAUUAGUCCCCUUUCAUCCCUUAUCUGUCUCUUCUUCCACAUGGGGAUACAGAGUUUAUUCCCUCUGGAGAAUGCAGCAACAGGGCACCAUCUUGGAAACAGAGAGAUCAGACUCUCACCAGACACUGAACCUACUGACACCUUGACCUUGGACUUCCCAGUCUCCAGAACCAUAAGCAAUAAAUUUCUAUUCCUUAUUAACCACCAAGUCUGUGGUACUUUGUUCUAGCAACACAACAUUCUAAGACAAGUAGGUUCCAAAUUUUGCAUGGGAAAUAUACUAAAAUUGCAUUAUUUAUCUGAAAUUCAGAUUGAACUGAGUGUUCAAUUUUCAUUUCUUGUUCUACCCACCCAAACCCUCCCCCUCCCUGAGAUUCUUUGCUAGAUCUGGCAACUCUAUACCAAGCUCAUUUCUUUCCUUGGGAUAUUCUUCCUCGGACAGUUACUCCCUCCUCACUCAACCCUGGUCUCUACCCAAAUGCCUUUCUUCAGGAAGACCCUCCUUUGAUCCUAUGUCUCAAACCCAGCUCUACCUCUCCCCCUGCCUCUUGCCUUAUUUUCCUUAUAGCCUUACCCAGCCUAACCUUACCUUGUAUGUUUGUUUUCUUGUUUGUUUCCCCACUCUCAUGGGCUCUUCAGGAAGGCAGGGGCUCAUGUCUGUUUUGUUCACUGCCAUUUCCCCAGUGCCUAACAGAGCCUGGAAUAAAGUGGCUGGAAACUAUUUGCCAAAUGAAUGGCUUGCUCUGUAUAAUCAAGUGAGAAUUUUAGUUUCUGGGUCAGUUCAAGAAAGAAAUAGUAGGACAAAGUAGCUUCGAAAGUAUUAGGGGAAGAGUUGUGGGGGGAGGGGAGGAAGAGAUAGAGACAGAGAGACAGAAUGAAGAGACAGGAAAUAUACUGAGACCUUCCUGGGUCUGCAGAUCUCUGAAAUGCAGAAUUUCCAUGGGAGUCCACACAGGCUGCUAGAUCUCAUUUCCACCAAGGGCAAUACAAUGUAGAGUUUCAGAGCAUGGCCCCUGGCUCACGGUUUGAGUCUGAAAUCUACUUCUCACUUCUUGUCAGGCCACGAGUAAUUAAUUAACCUCUCUAGCCUUAAGUUUCCCUGUUAAGUAUAAAUAAAAUUGUGUGGGCUGGGGUUGUGGCUCAAUGGUAGAGCGCUUGCCUGGCAUGUGUGAGGCACUGGGUUUGAUCCUGAGCAUCACAUAUACAUAAAUAAAAAAUAAAGGGACAUUAACAACUAAAAAAAAAUUAAAAAUAAUUAAAUAAAUAAGGAAGAUUGUGGGUGAAGUUCUUAACACAACUGAUGCCUGGCAAGUGCAUAACAGAGCUCAGCUGUGACUAAUAUGCCUAUAGACAGCUACACUCUCUGAUCAUGAAAUUCACAUUCCUUGAUUACCUUUUUGAUUUUUGCUGACUCUCCAUUAUGGCCAUUUUUGAAAAACACAUUUGUUGUUGUUGUUUUAGAUGUUAAGUCAUGGCAAGAGAAUGGAGGGGGCAUGAUAGUGAUUAAAGACUGGCAAGCCAAGUGCACGGUAGGCCUGGGCAGGCCAGUGAGGCGUGCCUGCCAGCUGGGUGACUUGCUUCUGUAAGCCAGACUCAUUGCCAGAGGAUCCAAAUUCAGUAACAGCAUGAGAAUAAUUUACUGUAAUUGGGGGCCUUUAAGAUUUCUAGGAAAUAGUUGAAGCUACAAGUGUUAAGCCCAGGAGUGUGUAGGGUCCCUGCCACUGAGUAUACAACAUUAUUCAUGCAGAAGCCAGUCUGGCUUUGAUGUAGCUGGCUCUGUGUCCCUGUGCAUCCCCUAACAUUCUUUGAGCCUCACAUUCUUCUGGUGGGAAAAGGGAUGAUAACUUCUGCUCUGUUCUUCUUACAGGUUUGAAUGACCAUAAAAUGAUAUAGGGCAUGACACAGAGCUUUGGCAUCUGUAAACUACUAUGUAAAGCCCGGGAUCCUCCUGAUACCAUCAGCAUUGUCUGUAGGGUAGGGGCUUUUCUGGCUGACUGGGGAUUGACAGCUUCAUGGACAUCUUGAUGUCACCCACACCCAGCGCCUCACAGACAUGUGCCUUCUUCCUGGCGCCAGGGUUAAAUACCUUUCAGUUAUUGUGUCUCUAUGGGGUUAAAAUGGCACAAAGUGAUCAUACCCCCAGAACUCGGCCACCACAUCCAGGCCAGCGAUGUCUGCCAGAUGUGCACUUCCCAACCUGCAGCCACUGCAGAGGCAGGAAAUUAGCAACAGCUCUGAGUAAACAUCUCUCUUCUACAUGUCCAUAACUCAGCACUUUGCUGUAUUAGUAAUUGGCUACCAUUUCUAGGACUGGACAGUACACAUGAAAAGUCCCACAGUCCCCAGUGCCAGUGAGACAGUGAUCCAGGAUUCAGCCCUCUUCUGUCCCAGCCUCUGGUCAGUGCCCACUCAGAUGGAGUGCUGUGCAGUGGUCCAAUGAUGCAGACUGAGGCAGCCAGGCAGGGACAGGAUGUACCGGAACCUGUGACCUUGGCCUGUGGUCCAGGGUCCUGGCUCAGGCUGCAAAGCUAGAUUGCCUCUGAAAAGCAAAUUUUUUCUCUUGGUAGGGUGCUCAUUGGCCAGAGCUGACCUGGGACUAUAGCUGGCAGCAUCCUUACCUCAGGCUCUAUAGUUGCAGGCAUGCAUUAGAUAAAUAUUAACCAAGUGACGGCACCAACUAGGUACCAGGAUGCAUCAGGGAGGAGAAUGGAUUGUGAACUUCCUUUCCUAGCUAGAACGUAUAUUCUAGUUGGGGAGCAAAAAUAAUAAAUAACUAGAUUAUGCAGCAUGUUAGCAGGUGAUGAUCAUGGGGAGCAGCAGGGUGUGGGGAGCAGGUGUGAGGGCGAGAGGAACACUGGGUUCUACCUUCAACAGGGAGGGCAGGGAGGGCUAAUCUAGUGAGGAGCCAGCAUUUGAGUAAGUAGCAGGGGUAGAGAGAAUUUUAGGCAAAGGGAGCAGCCCUAGCAAUGGAGACUGAACCGAGUGAGUCAGGGAAGAAGUUGGGGAAACUAGCAAGUCAGGCCAGGGCACACAGACUCCCAGGCUCUGUCUGGGUGACCUCCAUUCAGGGAUGCCAAGACCAUGCUUCAAAACCUGGAAGAGAUUGGGAGGGGAGAGCGGGGAGUACGUGGAAUUACUCAGAGACCAGUUGUUAACCACGAACAGUGGGGAGAGAAAUGAAGGCCUAUGGAGUGGCACCCACUAUUUCUCUGUAUGUGUGUCUACCAAGUUUGUGUUACACACAAACUGUGCAUUUGUUCUUCCCUCUCUUCCUUCCCUCCCUCUCUUCUUUCCUUCCUUCCUUUAUGAAAAAAAAAGCCAUUUAAAAGCAGCCAGUGUGUGUGUGUGUGUGUGUGUGUGUGUUUGUGUGUGUAUCUUUCUGAAAAAAAAAUCAUGAUCAUUAAAAGAAAUGUCAGCUGCUAAUCCUGUCCAGGUAGAGACAUUUAACCUAGUUGGGUAUAAUGUGGGGAGGCUGAUACAUUUGUUUCAAUGGGAUUCUCAUUGUUCUACAAAAUCCCUUGCUGUCUGGAAUAACUGAGGCAAUCCAGAAACAUUUAAAGAACAGUACGAAAAGUUUUUAUUUCCAUCUCUGGAGAAGAUUCAAGAACCUUGACUCCAAAGUCUCAUUCCUGAAGAAGUCGUGACCUCUAGGUGUGAAGACAAUGUGGCUGGGGAGAGUGGAUGAUGGUGGAGUGGCAAGGUGUUUCUUGGAUUCUGACCUUGAUCUACUUCUCCUCUUUUCCUGGGCUCUCAAGUCUACACCCAAGAGAUCAACCACUUCUCACUAAGCUUGGGAUGUGAAAUAAUUGUCUCCAACCUGACUUCCACCCACCUCCCAGCUGGUGUCCUCACUGCAGGCUCACUUUCUCCAGUCCCAUCCAUACAGCAGCCAGGGUCUCCUUCCACAGUAGCACACAUGUGGACCCGGCACUUGCCUCCCUUAAAGGUCCCCUACCUGGGGCCUGCACUGGUCACUGUCAUUCUCAUCAUGAGUCCUAAAUGUUUGGAAAUGUAACUUAUUUUUCAAAUAAAGAAGACACCAAUAAAACAAACAAAAGUUAUCUAUUGGUAGAUAUAUACUUUUUUAUUUCUAAUUUUUUGGUACUGGGCAGUUAACCAAGGGGUAUUUUGCCACUGUGCCACAUCCUUAGUCCUUUUUAUGUUUUUGAGACUGUGUCUCACUAAGUUGCUAGAUUGCUGAGGUUGGCCUCAAACUUACAAUCCUCCUGCCUUAGCCUCUUGAGCCUCUGGUUUUACAGGCAUGUGACACUGUGCCUCAGUAGAUAUAUUCUUUUUAAAACUUUUUUAAAAUUGUAGAUGGACACAAUAUCUUUAUUUUUUAUUUAUUUAUUUUGAUGUGGUACUGAGGAUUGAACCUAGGGCCUCACAUGUGGGAGGCAAGCGCUCUACCACUGAGCUACAACCCCAGCCCUAGAAAUACACUUUUUAAAAACACAUUUUUAACAGUUACUUGUUAGAAAGCCAACUCUGAAAAAUGCAACUAUUUUGAAAAACAUAAACAUUCGACAUUCACGUCAUGGGUGCAGUUGCAAUUUUAUCUCAGCGUUGGUAUCUGAUUUAUUUCUGCAUUUGUUUCUAUUGCUCAAUGUUGAGAAACUUUGAUUCACAGAGAUAAGGCAUAAGAAUAGAUGGUAACUAUGGGUGAUAACAACUAACUGUAUAUUUCAAAAUAGCUACAAAGAAGAUUCUAAAUAUUCCCAGCACAGAGAAAUGAUAAAUGUUUGAGAUGAUAGAUAUGGUAAUUACCCUGAUGUGAUUAUUACACAUUGUAUACAUGUGUUGAAACACCACACUGUACCCCAUUAGUACGUAUAGUUAUUAUGUGUCAAUUAAAAAUUUACGAAUUAACAACAGUUUCAUUUUACAUUUUAUUUUUAUGUAGCCUUGAAAUUUCAGGAUUCUCUAAAUUAAACAGAUCCAAGAUUUUAAUGUGGAGUAGGAGGAAAUUUUGAUUCUAAUAUUGAACCAGUAGCACAUAUGUGGACACAGCACAUCUAAGUGCUUUUGUGCCUUAUAUUAAAUGUAAAAGUCAAAUUAAAAGUAGCCCAAACCAGGAGAGGCACUCAUGUAAUAUUAUCCUGACUGCACAGCUAAUCAUUGUGCAGCAUGGAGGGAAUGAAAGCCUGGGUUUUACCAGCAUCAGAGUGCUUCAGUGUGACCUAGUUUGCGAUAGUGCACCAGUCCAAAUUAAUUGAGAUGAUUUGCAAGGACUGGAUUUUAAGAAAUUACCUAUACAGAGCUGUACUCUUUCUAUCCAUUGACACCUUUAUUAAAUACUCAAAGUUAGACCUGAACUAAUUGAAAAGACAAAUUUUUGUCUAUCAAAGAGCAUUUUUUAAUAUAAUUUUUUUCUUUAUAUAUGACAACGGAAUGCAUUACAAUUCUUAUUACACAUAUAGAGCACAAUUUUUCAUAUAUCUGUAUACAAAUAUUCACACCAUUAUCAAAGAGCAUUUGCCUGGCAGCAUGAAUGAAUACCUUCCUGGCCUUCAAUAUGUUAAAAAAUUCAUACAAAUCAUGUGUAAAUAUUUUGUAAAAGUAUAGGUUUUUCAAAGUGAUUUAAAGUACAUAUUUGGGAAAGCUUUAAGAAUAAAUCAUUCUGUUUUUUAAAUAGAAAAUAUGACAUGGUGCAAAAUUCAAAAUGUAAAGAAUAUUUAGUGACUAAUAAAUCUAACCCCUCCACUCUGUCUCUGACUGAUAUUCUCCUUAGGGUAAACAGUGUUACCAAUUUAUUUGACUCCUACCAGGGAUAUUUAAUGUCUGCCACCCAUGUGCAUGCGUGCGCGCGUGUGUGUGUGUGUGUGUGUGUGUGUGUAUCUUAGUUUGGGUUACCCCAGAAACAGAUUGACACAACUUCAUCUCAAAGGGGCUCCCAGGAAACGCCUGGGAAGGGAUGAGGAUAGAUUCUGGGCAGGGAUAAGAGCCAAGGAAGGAAAGAAGCCUAAGUAAAUUACCACUGGGGCAACCAGAGCUAAUCCUGUUGGGGACCCUGAGAGCCAGCACAGGACCUGGAGCUUGGAGUUAUUUCUCCCAAGGGGAAAUGAAGUUGGAGUUUUAUAACAAAUUCCAUUGUUUAAGAGCUAUGAGGUAUGGGCAGCCAGCCAUAUGGCCUGGCCCAGUAGACUCCGGCAGUCAGUCAGAGGAAGCUCUUGUCAAAGAAAUGCAAGGACCAGCAGUUAAAGUGAAUUGAUACACAUUGCAAUGUUAAGGAGCAAGAGGUAUGAGCAGGGCACCAACAUUUGUUGCAAUAUUCUCCUAAAUACAUUUUGAAUGAAAUUUGAACCAGACAUUUGCAACAACUAUGAUCCAGCCCUGUGAGUCAGGCUUUCAUAGAGCCCAGUGAAGGCUAUUAUCAUUUGUGUGCACAGCAAAUAAACCCUUCUGGGGUCUGACUUCAGCAAUUAAGUCUAGUUCUUUUCCUAUCUUAAUCUUAGUCAAGUUUCUGGCCCUUAUUAUACAUUUAAUCCAUGCUCACAGGCCCGUAGACCUCCCAUCCCUGCCUCUGCUCAUGAGGUUCUCUAGGCCUCGUAUCCUUUUCCUUUCCUCUUACCUGCCUAACUUUACUUGCUCUCCCAGGUUCAGGUGAGCUGGAAAUAAGGCUGACCUUAGAGAUGCAGAGGUCUCAGUGAGAUGAUGCCGACAGUGUUUAGCAUGGUGUCUGGCACAGAACAUGAGCUCAGCAGUGGCUGUCUGUGUGUUUGCCUGUUGUCUGUCCACCUCCCCACCUGUCUUGUGACUCAGAAGACCUCCCCAAUAUCCCCAGCCUGGGCUUACCUAUUGGAAUGAUUUGUUUUCUUGUCUGGCCCCAUUCCAACUGUGCUUCCUUUGGACAGGAAGCAGACUUUGCCCAUCUGUAAUUCCCCAUGGCUGGCAUAGGGCCUAGACAUAGUAAAUGCUUUUGAAUACAAUUGAACCAAGUACACCGCACAGUGGCCAUUCUUCUGUGUUUGUAGGAAUUUUGAGGAAGGAGAAAGCACCAUAUAUAAGCUGACCCAGAAAGGCUUUUUAAGGUGGACACAGCAUGUCUUAUAAAAGACAUGCACAUAUAAAGACUGCUUCUUCUUUCUUCCUGGGGAGGCUUGCAGACAUGUGAUUUAAUUUCCAUGCAUAACUGUUUCCUCCCUCUCUCUCUCUCUCUCUCUCUCUCUCUCUCUCUCUCUCUCUCUCUCUCUAACAUAGCAAAUCAGUGCACAAAUGUUUUCUGAGUCCCUACCAUGUGUUGGGCACUGUUCUGGGGAAUGGGGAGAGAGUUGUACACAUGACAGGAGACCCUCUCGAAGACCUUAUACUCCCUUGGAAGGUACAGAAUGGACCAUUUCUUUGGUGUGGUCUCUAUUGUCUGCAAGUUCUGAAGAACCUGGAACAAGUGGGGCUCAGCAGAACCUGAUGGAUAGAAAUGUCAGACUUUUUGGUAAAGACACAAGGGCCAAGACUCCAAUCAGAGGAAGGAACCAAAGGAGAUCAAGGAUAUCCUUUAGAAACACACUGAACACUGGUCUGUAACAAGAGAAUGGAAAGUUACAAAGUUAUGAGUCUCCAUCCUUACCUGUGAAGUUCUGCUGUCCAGAACAGAAGAAGCAAGCCUACUGAGGUAAUCCUUAGUAAAUUACCAGUUGUGAUGACCAUCCAAGUAACAAUUUUUGGGGGGGAGGCUGGUACCGGGGAUUGAACUCAGGGGCACUCAACCACUAAGCCAAGUCCCCAGCCCUAUUCUAUAUUUUAUUUAGAGAAAGUGUCUCACUGAGUUGCUUAGUGCCUUGCUUUUGCUGAGGCUAGCUUUGAAUUCACAAUCCUCCUGCCUCAGCCUCCCAAGCUGCUGGGAUUACUGGUGUGUGCCACCGUGCCUAGUAAAAGUAACAAAUUUUUAAGCCAUUUUAUUUUGGAAUAAUUGUAGAGUCAAAGGAAGUUUACAAAAAAUAGAGUGACUGUGUAUCCUUCACCUAACUCCCCCAAUGCUAAUAUUUGCAGAAUUAAAGAACCAUAUCACAACCAGGAAAUUGACAUUAGUACAAUACACAGACCUUAUUCAGAUUUAAACUUGUUUUUCAUAUGAGUCUAUGCAAUCAUAUCAUACGUAAAUCAAUAUAACAACUAACACAAUCAAGACACAGAAUUGUUUGGACACCACAAAGAUAUUCCUGGUGUUCCAACUUUGCAGUCAUACCUCCAAUCUUUCCAAUUCCUCACUCCUGGCUACUGCUGAGUUUUGAAACUUUGAGUUUUUACAUAUGAGUUCUUUGUUAUAUAUGUAGUUUGCAAAUAAUUUUUAUUACUCCAUACCAUGUCUUUUCAUCUUUCUUAACAAAGCCUUCUAUAGGACAAAAUAUUUUAAUUUUGAAAUACAAAUUAUCCAUUUUUUUCUCUUAUGGAUUAUAAUUUUAGUGUCCUAAGAAUUCUCCGUAUUGCCCUAGGUCCUAAAGACUGUCUCAUAUUUUCUUCUAAAACACAUAAAGUUUUACAUUUAACAUUUAAAUUCAUAACACAUUUUGAAUUAGUUUUAUCUAAUAUGUAAAAUAUUGAUCAGGGUUUAUUUUGGUCUAACAAUGUCUCUUUAUAAAAAGAUCAUUCUUCCCCAUUGACCAUCUUUCAUCCCUACAUUAAAAGCCAAUUAUAAAUCCACACAAGUAUGGAUUUAUUUCUGGACUCUCUACUAUGUUCCCUUAAUCUAUCUGUCCUUCCACUUUACACAAUGUUUUGAUUACUAUAGACAUAUGCUAAAUCUUUUAAUUGAAUAGAAUGAUUCCUCCCACAUUAUUCUUUUUUUUCUAAAGUUGUUUUAUCUAUUCUAAUUUCAUUGUAUUUCCACAUAAAUUUAAUAAUAAUCUUGCCUAAGUCUACAAAAAGCAUGCGGUUUUUACUGGAAUUUUGAGCUACACCAAUUUCAGAAUUCACAUUUUUUUUUUUAAUGCUCAGUGUUCCAGUCCAUGAGUAUGGUAUGUUCUUCCAUUUAUUUACAUCUUCCUUAUUUUUUUUUAAUCCUCAUUUUGUAGUUUUUACCAGUCCUGUACAUGUUUUGUUGGAAUUAUACCUAUAAUCCUUUUUGAUAAUUUUUUUUUGGUAAAUGGUUACGUGUUUUAAAUUUUAGUAUCCACAUGAUCAUUGAGAGUAUACAGAAAUACAAGUUGUUUUUGUAUAUUUAUUUUAUCUUCUGCAGUCUUGUAAAAUUUUGUGCUAUACCAGUUUCAGAAUUCACAUUUUUUUUUUAUGCUCAAUGUUCUAGAAGUUCUGUUUUGUUUGCUUGCUUGUUCUUCAGUUUUAAUUCCUUGGGAUUUUCUAUAUUGGUUAUUAUUUCACUGGCAAAUAAGGAUAAUUUUAUUUCUUCUUUUCAAAUUGUAUGCCAUCAUGAUAAGAUUAUCAAUUUUGAGGGCCAUGCAGGUCAAAAAAUCAUUAUUUAAUUCCAAAAUAUUCUACCUCACCACUCAUGUCUAGAUUAUUUCCCUAGUAGCCACUGUGUGCUCAGGGAAUACAGCCUCACUCUUACAAUAGAUCAAGCAUCUAUUAUUAGGGAAAACAUCUGGAAAGAAUAAGAUACAUUCCAAAGUCAAGGAGGAAGGAUUUGGGGGACUUUUCUCAUCAUGCCUCUUCAUGAGCAAGGGUCAUUGAAGGGUGACUCUCUGUACUGUUUGUUCCCUUAGGUGACGACCACCCAGGGUGCAUGGAUGACCUUCUCAAAUCCACUCAGGGAAAUGAGCAACUCAUUUCCAAAUACUGGCCAAGGUCGGGACCUCCUGAGGCAGGCUGAGAGCAGGGAUUGAGGAAAGGGUAGAGUGAGGCUGUCUGAAAGUUGGGGAGUCUCUUCCUCCUUCCUGAAUUUAAAGGGGUUUUUGAUGAGUAAGUGUGAGGUAAAUCUGUUUCCUUCACCUCAGAGCAGGGAAAGGGGUUCCUGUGGGAUCCUGCAGGAGGUAGAUUUAGGGGUGGUUAGAGAGAAGGAAAAUAAGAUGAUGAUUCCUGUCCUUCUUCCCAGUGGUAGUGAAUCUAUGUAAAAAUAAAAGAAAGAUUAAAACAAAAACAACACUAAAGAGCUUCUCAAAAUGAAGUUGGGAGGCCAUUAUGGAAGCAGGACUUAUGCAAUUUAGCUGAUGCCCAGAACAUAAACUCUGAUCUCCUCCACUCUUUAGCCAGAGGCAUCUGGAAUAUCCUAAACAACUGAACAAUUGCAUUGUGUCCAGAGAUUAAAGAUGCAUAUGGAGAGGUCAUUAGAUUCUUGUUUCAUGGACAAUUCCAUUAUGUUCAUACAUUCUUUUAGGGGGUACUAAAUUCUUAUUGUUUCUAUCCCAUGCCAUAAAUAGCUGUUAUAGCAGUGAAAUAACAACACUAUUAUAAUAGCUUCAGAAGUAACCCCACUAGUAGCAGUAGCCAAGAGAGUUUUACCUGAAAUGCUGACACUGGCAGUAUGAGACCUCCCAAUGCAAAGAAAGUAGGUCCUUUAAUUUUGUUUCAUUGGGUACAAGAUUCACCUCCUUUUAUCAGGUAGUCCUUGUUCCUUCUCAACAUCCAAUAUCCCAUAUAAGUUCUUGAUUUUCCUGCCUUCUUCAGAACACUGAUUCAGAGAUAUCUGAAACCAGGACUCCUGAAUUUCAAUAUCUAAAUGCCAAAUAAGCUCCCUUUUACUUCUGUAGCUUAUGAAUUUGAAUAGAAAAAAAUACUUGGGGGGAAAAAAAGAGCAGUGUGUCCUUGAUGCCCCUGGGGACAUGUCAGAAGUGAGGUUCAGACAAGAAAAUGCCUUCAGUUUCUUUUAAACAUCUUUUAGAUGGCAAGAUACAUAGAACUGAAGAAAAAGUAGUAUAGUAUAUACUUCAAAAUAAAAAGCCAAAGCUAGGGCUGGACAUGAGGAUCCCAGAGUCAUCUGUGGAGCUGUACAAGCAAUGCUAUGUGAGUGGAAGGAUUCAGUACCGGUAAAUCUCUAGUUACCCAAACUACUUGGAUUAAAAAAAAAACAGUGCUAUUUACUUUUCUGAUAAAGUAUUGGGCAAUUCAUGGCUGGAAUCUACUGAAAUAUCACACUGUAUGCAAUGCUUAAUUGAUAGAUUCGUUAAAGGUGGAUGUGUGUCAAGAAGUUGGAACAAUGAGAAUGUAGUUCUCUUCAAUGUAUGCUUGGCUGUGGAGAUUUUUGUUUAAUCUAAAAUAACUAGUACCUUCAUUUGCUUUCUGUAAAACAAGAGACCCAAUUACAUUUUUUUAGAGAGAGAGAGAGAGAGAGAGAGAGAGAGAGAGAGAGAGAGAGAGAGAAUUUUUUUUUUUAAUAUUUAUUUUCCAGUUUUCGGCAGACACAACAUCUUUGUUUGUAUGUAGUGCUGAGGAUCGAACCCAGGCUGCACUCAUGCCAGGUGAGCGUGCUACUGCUUGAGCCACAUCCCCAGCCCCCCAAUCACAUUUUUAAAAGCUAGGUCUAUCUUGAAAAUGGUAAACUAGAAGAAAACUUAAAAGCAAAAUGUAGUUAAUUGGGAUAUUGAAUUUUUACUGUUUCUGUGUUUUAUCCCAUAUCAUGUGCACCUCAAGUGAAAUAACAGCACUGUUUUAACAGCUUCAGAAAUAAUUUCACUGAUGCAGAUGAGAUUUUCCAAUCCAGAGGGAGUAGGUGCUUUGGCUCCAUCAGAUGCAGGAUUCACCUCCUCUUACCCCAUGUGGGGUCUGAGCACUUCUAGUUCUCCUUCACUGGUGUUUGUAGCAUACCAACCCCUCUCUCACUUCUCACCCGAAUACUGACCCUUGGAUGUCAAGUUGAGCCUUCUUAUUCUCUCCAGGAAAACCUCUUAGUCAUCAGACAUGGGGGACCCCAGACAUCUCUCUAUCCUAGCAUUUUUAGACCCCCUUCUCUGUGCUCCAGAGUCACUGACCCUGAUUCACCUUUGUGCCUUGUGUCACCUCUUCUCUCCUUGGUUUCUCGUGUGUUCUAGGCACCAACAGGAAAUGCUCCAUUGAUUCUCAGGUGGGGAGUUGCUGCCUCUAACUUCAGCCCAAGGGGUCACUCAAAACCUGGAUCUGCAAACAUCUGUCUUUGGAUUACAUGACAAAGAGCACUAGUGUAUGGGAGGUUUAAUUAAAUAUAUCUUUGUCAUCAUUGGCUAGGUCUUGCCUCUAGCCAUUAAUAGUUACCACUGACUUGAUGGUAGGAUGUGGUUUUCAGCUUCAAUUGUAAAGGGCUUUUAGAGGCAAGCUGGCAUCUGAUCUGGAAACCAUUCCAUGUUUAUUCGUAGAUCUCAGGUUACUUCACAAUCUUUUCACUGGUAAAAGUUACCCAUAAUAAUUCUUUUCAUUUUUCCAAAUCCUGAAGAGGCAGCUAGCUUAAAUAGGGGAAUGAAAUCUAUGAGCCAAACACCAAACCUAAGCACAUCCCUGAGUCAGGGUCAUUCCAUCUUCCCACAUCAGAAAAGCCUGGAAAAACUGACACUGGAUGGUCUAAACCACCUUGCCCCUUAGGUUUAAUUGUAAUGGAGACCUCAACAGGAUCCAACAUGGAAGUCUGUCCCUAGAAGAGGCAAUGGCUUCUGCUAAAGCUACUGAUAUGGUAGAUGCUUUCUCAGCUCCUAAAGGCGAUAACCCUCUUACCUACUUCUACUUCAAACCCUGAACUGCUUUUCUUGAAAACCCUCACUCAACCGUGUUUUGAAGUCAUUGGAUAGUGACUUCAUGAAUUCACUGAUUUGGUUCAAUGAUCUUAGAAUGAGUUUUCUCUUAACCGUUGUGUUUUAUAUUUCAUUUGAAGAAAUCCACUUGCUUAUUUAUUUAUCCAUUUAUUCAUGCAACAAAUACUUAUUGGCUUCCUGCUAUAUAUCUAAAAUUAUGCUAAGUACCAUGUACACCACCCUGCCAUCAAAGGCCUCACACUGUGCUAUUGGAAUCAAGGUAAAUUCAGGAUAAGUGCAGGUUAUAGGUGCUGGAAUGGAACAAGAAUUGGCUGAUAUGAAAGAAGAUUCCCAACCCUAAAGAAUAAAGUUCUGAGUUAAGUGAUGCUAAAACUAAGAGUUUGAUGGGUAAGCUGGAGUUGGUCUUGAAGAGAAGGGAAAAGGAGAGCUUUUUCAGCAGAGUCAAAGUUUGUGCAAAGGCAGAAAGAUACACAAGAGCAGAUCAUGGAGGUUCAUGGGUUCAGCUCAGCUGGAAUAGAUUAACAUAUUAGAUUAAGGGAAGUCAUAGCAAAUAAACUGAAGUUGGAAUGGCAUUAUGGUUCUCUGAUAAAACAGAACACACAGGAUAGAAUUGGCUCAUGCAGUGAUGGCGGAGGCCAAGUUCCCAUGUCUGUAGGGUGAAUCUGGGAGAGACCAAGGAAAAACUGUAGCUUCGUUCCAGUCUGGGUCCAAAAGUCUGAGAGUCAGGAUAAUUGAUGGUAUAGUUCACCUUUGAAGGUUAGGAGUCUUAAGACCCAAAAAGAGCUGAUGUUUUUGUUAGAGACCAAAGGCAGGAGGAAAGCCAAAGUCUCAGUUAGAAGGCAGUUUGGCAAGGAAAGUUCUUUCUUAUUCAGAGAAGGGUCAGCCAUUUUAUUCUAUUUAGGUCUUCCAUUAGUUGGAUGAGGCCCACCCACAUUAGGGAGGACAAUCUGCUUUACUUAGUCAACCAAUUUAAAUGUUAACCUUACCCAAAACACCCUCACAGAAAUAUCCAAAAUAAUGAUCAAAUUUCUGGGCAAUCUGUGACCAGUCAAGUUAACACAUCAAAGGCAUGAACUGUUGAGAGAUCAUUUUUGAAUGAGAGGACAUUCUGAAGCCAACUUUAGGUUACCUUCUCAAAAAGGAUCAGGCUCUCUUACCUGACAGGCCAAGGGGUGCUGUGUUGAGAAAAUGUUCUCUCUCACCUUUUAAAAUCUUCUUAUUUUCUUAACAUUACUUAAUGGAUAUCACUUACUGUGUACCUACUAAGGGCUGGCUGGCUGAUCAGCAAACAUGUCCCUUCAUUCUCUCAGUAAUCUUAUCAUCUACUGUAAGGAAACCAAGGCUCAAAGAUCUGUGAACACAUCCAUGGUUAUCGCACAGGUAGUAGUUGGGAUUCAAUAAAUGUCUGCUGAAUAACAUGCCACUUGUUAAUGGCUGUGCAGCUAGUUAAGUGGUGAAGUUACAUCUCAAAAGAAGGUUGUUUCACUUUAAAUACAAUAGACUUUAAGGAAAAAAAAACACCGGUGAGUACAGACCAGGAAAAACUAUGUGAUUAUAGUUUGGGCAGCCAGACCUCUGACAUUCUAUCUUACUCCUCCAUGAGGUAGGCCAACAUGACUGGGCCUGAAAAAUUCCAAUAAUUCCAACAAAAUCUGUCAGCAUCUAGCUUAGCUCCUUGAAAGUGGCCUUGGGCAAUUAAACCACACAUAUUGGCAAACCUAAUCUCUGGUUCUGAUUAACUCAGAAAUUCACUAGCUCCAUUCCUAUCAUGCUUGUGAGUAUAAAUUUUUCCCUGUUAUGAAUCCAUACUUAAAAUGCUUUGGUAAUAACAAGAAAGAUGAGGGACAAGGUGUGGUUCAAAGCCAUCUGACCUCUUUUGAUUGACAAUGUUCAGUUUGUGGAAGGUAGAGAUGGGGGAGGAGGGCUGGUUAUGGAUUUCACAGAAAUUAUACUGGUCAGUCUCGGUGAGACAUUUAUUAAGGGACCAAGUCUCUUCCUAGUAAUUUAUUAUAUUUAAAAGCAUGUUAAGUCUUGGAGGUCAUGAGGCAUGAUGUCCCUCACUAGUGACACAUGACACAGAAAAAAAGAAGAAAAAACCCUUAAUCACUUUUCCCAGAUUCUUUCCAGCUUCCAAUUCAAGGGCAGCUUUACCACAUUAAGAGCACUGAGCCCUUCCUCACCAUCUCUUGUUCUUUGCUCCCUGACCCCUCCCAAAGAUAUAUGGAAACUGUUUUCCAUCUUCAAAAAAAAAAAAGUGUGGGUAAAUUCUAAAAGGGAGUUUUGUGAUUUCAUUUGAAAUUGCCAAAGACUUGAUAAGGAUGUCUCCAAAGGACAAUGUAGUUAUUUCAAUCAUUUUAGACAAUCGGUGGUGAAUAGUCAGAAAGAGGAAAGGUGGGAGUCGUCUAAGAGAAAAGAUUCAUCCAGGCAGAGGCUUUAGAAAUGCCCUAUUGUCUGAAAGCAACAUGAGUCAUGUUCUUCCAGAAAGGUCUGUGACCCCUGUGAUCUGACCACACUCAGUCUGGCCUCUCCCUUCCCUCUCCAACCACCUCUCUUACCCAAAGAUAGGACCCCAAACAAAGACUCAGGCUUCAUUUUCCAGUCUUAGAUGAAAGGUCAAGGGUUCACCUCAACAUGUCCCUCCAAGGAACAAUUACUGACCCUCCUUGAGCCUCUCCUGACCUCCAGUGUCAUGGAGUUCAACACAAUUCACAUCAGUCUUAGACAAUGGACUCAUUUCCAUCUCCCUUGCUUAUUCUACUCCAGCCACAAUGGUGUCCUUGCUCUUUCCCAAGCAUACCAGGCUCCCUUUCCCUUCAGGGCUCUUGCUCUUGUUAAUGGCCUGUGUUCUCCCUCCAGCAGCCUGGCAUGGUGCGGCUGUCCCAUUUCCUCUGAACUUCACUCAAAUGUUUCUUUCACAAAGAGGCAUCUAUGACUGUGCUAUUGAUAAUUCCAACUUCGGUCUGCCCUCCCCUCACCCUCACUACUCCCUUUCUGGGUUUAUGUUUUUUUUUUACUAGUACUUGUCAUCCUCUACUUGACCUCACAUCCUAUGUAUUUAGUUUAUUGUAUUUCCACCAUGUUUCCCUGUCCCACGAAGACAGGGAUUUCUAUUUUGCUCACUAUUGUGUUCCCAGUGCUUAGCAGUGUACUGGGCACACCCUAAACGCAGUUCAAUAGUUGCUAAGUAAAGAAAUGAACGAAUAAAGCAUAAAGUGAACAGCUAAUAUGUGCCCAAACCUUGAUGUACUCAUGCCUGAUGUGGGAGGCAAACUGCUUGCCCUAAAGAAGUUCAGAUUGCAUUUGGGAAGACAAUGCUAACAGAACUGGUGUCUCAGUUAUUUCAUUAUGAGGCACAGAUACUGCUUCAAAAAAUACUCUCAGAAAUUGGGGUUAUGUCUUGUUGGUGUAUGGUUCCCUUAAGCAGUAUGUAGUGUCCCUCUUUAUCCCUUUUGAUUAACUUUGGCUUGAAAUCUAUUUUAUUUGAUAUGAGUAUGGACACUCCUGCUUGUUUCCGAAGUCCAUAUGAGUGAUAUGAUUUUUCCCAACCUUUCACCUUCAGCCUAUGUAUGUCUUUUCCUAUCAAAUGCGUCUCCUGUAGGCAGCAUAUUGUUGGGUCUUGUUUUGUGAUCCAUUCUACUAGCCUGUGUCUCUUAAUUGGUGAGUUUAAGCCACUAACAUUUAGGGUUAUUAUUGAGAUAUGGGUUGUUCUUCCAGCCAUAUUUGUUUAUUUAUGUUACUAAACAUGGUUUGUUUUCCUCUUUGAUUAUUUCCCCCCCCCCUUUACUGUCCUACCUCCCACUGUUGGUUUUCAUUGUUAUUUUACAUUUCCUCUUCCUGUAAUGCUUUGGCGAGGAUGUUUUGAAGAGAUGGUUUUCUAGCUGCGAAUUCUUUAAACUUUUGUUUAUCGUGGAAGGUUUUAAUUUCAUCUUCCAUCCUGAAGCUUAAUUUCGCUGGAUACACAAUUCUUGGUUGGAACCCAUUUUCUUUCAGUGUUUGAAAUAUGUUAUUCCAGGAUCUUCUAGCUUUCAGAGUCUGUGUUGAAAGAUCAGCUGUUAUCCUGAUUGGCUUACCCCUAAAUGUAAUCUGCUUCCUUUCUCUUGUAGCUUUUAAAAUUCUCUCCUUAUUCUGUAUGUUGGGCAUCUUCAUUAUAAUGUGUCUAGGUGUGGAUCUCUUAUGAUUUUGCACAUUCGGCGUCCUGUAGGCUUCUAGGAUUUGGGAUUCUGUCUCAUUCUUCAAGUCUGGGAAGUUUUCUUGUAUUAUUUCAUUGAAUAGACUGCUCAUUCCUUUGGUUUGGAGCUCUGUACCUUCCUGUAUCCCAAUGACUCUUAAGUUUGGUCUCUUAAUGUUAUCCCAUAUUUCUUGGAUGUUCUGCUCAUGGUUUCUUAACAGUCUUGCUGAGCUGUCUAUGUUCUUUUCCAGUUGAAAUACUUUGUCUUCAUUGUCUGAUGUUCUAUCUUCUAAGUGUUCUACUCUGUUGGUAGUAUUCUCCAUUGAGUUUUUAAGUUGGUUUAUUGCUUCCUGCAUUUCUAGGAUUUCUGAUUGCUUGUUUUUUAUAACCUCUAUCUCCCUGUAUAGUUGAUCCUUUGCUUCCUGGAUUUGUUUGCGUAAUUCAUUGUCGAGGUGAUCUUUCAUUGUCUGAUUUUGCUGUUUAAUGUCUUCCUUGAUACUCCAGAUCAUCUGAAGCAUGUAUAUCCUGAAUUCUUUAUCUGACAUUCCAUCUGCUGCAGCUGUUACCUCUUCUAAAGUUGCGUUGACCUGCAUUGCUUGUGGUCCUUUCUUUCCUUGUCUUUUCAUACUGCUUGCGUAUCUUUCCUGCAGGUGCGGGCGGCGGCUCUGCUCUCUCCUUAUUCCAAUUGGGGUGUCGUGGCUACCACGCCGGCAGGUCACUGGGCCUGUUCUGGGAGCUGGUGGCGGCUCUGUUCUGCCCCUACUCCAAUUGGGGUGACGAGUGUACCACGCCGGCAGGCCACCGGGCCUGAUCCGCCGGUCGGUUGCAGGUUUGCCUACCCUGCAGGCGCGGGCGGCGGCUCUACUCUGCCCCUACUCCAAAUGGGGUGACGUGUCUGUCGUACCGGCAGGCCACUGGGCCUGUCCCGCUGGUCGGUCGCAGAUCUGCCCACCUUUCGGGCACGAGUGGAGGCUCUGCUUUGCCCCUACUCCAAUUGGGGUGUCGUGACUACCCCGCCUGCAGGAUGCUGGGUCUGUUCCUGGCAAGGGAGGCGACUCUGCUCUGUCACUACUCCAAUUAGGGUGGUGUUUGUACCACGCCGGCAGGCUCCUGGGCCUGAUCCGCCGGUCUGUUGUAGGUCUGCCUACCUUGAAGGCGCGGGCGGCGGAUCUGCCCUGCCCCUCCUACCACGCCUGCGGACCCCUGGGCCUGAUCUGCAGGUUGAUCACUGGUCUGCUCACCCUGCGGGCACGGGUGGCGGUUCCGCUCCACCCCCACUCCAAUUGGGGUCACGUGACCACCACACCGGCAGGGCCUGAUCCGGGCGUGGGAUAAGGAUCUGCUCUGCCCCUACUCGAGUUGGGGUGACGUGUGUACCACACUGGCAGGCCACUGGGCCUGACCCGCCAGGCUGUCACAGGUCUGUUUACCUUGCAAGCGCGAAGGGCGGCUCUGCCCUGCCCCUCCUACCACGCCCAUGUACUACUGGGUCGUGGGUCUGCCCACCUGGCGGGUGUGGGUGGCGGCUCCGCUCCGCCCCCUCUCCAAUUGGGGUCACGCGGUCACCACGCUGGCGAGCCGCUGGGCCUGCUCCGGGGGCUGGCGGCGGCCCGGCUCCUUCCCUCUGGCUCGAGGACAAAUUGAGGAGACUCGGGUGACUGAGCCUCACCCCCCUUACCAGGAGACCAACUGCUUAUGUCACCGCUGGUAUUGAUGAAGAUCUCUCCUCCACCGCUUUCUGCUGACAUCAGAUCUCUGCCAUGUUGGUAUCCUAUGCGAAUGGCAGCAUUUCGUUCCCCUUGCCAGGCAACCCAAGCAAUGGGUGAGUCCUGACCUGCCCUCAGCAGGACCCGGACCGAGACACAGUUUCCGCGGGCUCCUAGCCCCGGUCCAGGGAAGUUCCGGGAGCCGGAACUCGGCCGCUCCGUGCUCGGUGUAAGCUCCUAUAAGUGUAGGCUCCAAGAAGCAGCCCCCGCGGGCUCAGUUCCGGGAGCCGGAAUUCGGCCGCUUAGUGUUUGGUGUAUGCUCUGAUAGUAGCAGGGUCCAAGAAGCAGCCUCCGCGGGCUCCGCAGCCCUGAGCCAGGGCGGUUCCGGGACGGUUCCGGGAGCCGGAACUCGGCCGCUCUGUGCUCGGUGUAAGCUCCUCUAAGUGUAAGCUCCCGGAACUGAGCCCGCGGGGACUGCUUCUUGGAGCUUACACUUAUAGGAGCUUACACCGAGCACGGAGCGGCCGAGUUCCGGCUCCCGGAACUUCCCUGGACCGGGGCUAGGAGCCCGCGGAAACUGUGUCUCGGUCCGGGUCCUGCUGAGGGCAGGUCAGGACUCACCCAUUGCUUGGGUUGCCUGGCAAGGGGAACGAAAUGCUGCCAUUCGCAUAGGAUACCAACAUGGCAGAGAUCUGAUGUCAGCAGAAAGCGGUGGAGGAGAGAUCUUCAUCAAUACCAGCGGUGACAUAAGCAGUUGGUCUCCUGGUAAGGGGGGUGAGGCUCAGUCACCCGAGUCUCCUCAAUUUGUCCUCGAGCCAGAGGGAAGGAGCCGGGCCGCCGCCAGCCCCCGGAGCAGGCCCAGCGGCUCGCCAGCGUGGUGACCGCGUGACCCCAAUUGGAGAGGGGGCGGAGCGGAGCCGCCACCCACACCCGCCAGGUGGGCAGACCCACGACCCAGUAGUACAUGGGCGUGGUAGGAGGGGCAGGGCAGAGCCGCCCUUCGCGCUUGCAAGGUAAACAGACCUGUGACAGCCUGGCGGGUCAGGCCCAGUGGCCUGCCAGUGUGGUACACACGUCACCCCAACUCGAGUAGGGGCAGAGCAGAUCCUUAUCCCACGCCCGGAUCAGGCCCUGCCGGUGUGGUGGUCACGUGACCCCAAUUGGAGUGGGGGUGGAGCGGAACCGCCACCCGUGCCCGCAGGGUGAGCAGACCAGUGAUCAACCUGCAGAUCAGGCCCAGGGGUCCGCAGGCGUGGUAGGAGGGGCAGGGCAGAUCCGCCGCCCGCGCCUUCAAGGUAGGCAGACCUACAACAGACCGGCGGAUCAGGCCCAGGAGCCUGCCGGCGUGGUACACACACCACCCUAAUUGGAGUAGGGGCAGAGCAGAGUCGCCGCCCGUGCCAGGAACAGGCCCAGCGUCCUGCAGGCGGGGUAGUCACGACACCCCAAUUGGAGUAGGGGCAGAGCAGAGCCUCCACCCGUGCCCGAAAGGUGGGCAGAUCUGCGACCGACCAGCAGGACAGGCCCAGUGGCCUGCUGGUACGACAGACACGUCACCCCAAUUGGAGUAGGGGCAGAACAGAGCCGCCACCAGCUCCCAGAACAGGCCCAGUGACCUGCCGGCGUGGUAGCCACGACACCCCAAUUGGAAUAAGGAGAGAGCAGAGCCGCCGCCCGCACCUGCAGGAAAGAUACGCAAGCAGUAUGAAAAGACAAGGAAAGAAAGGACCACAAGCAAUGCAGGUCAACGCAACUUUAGAAGAGGUAACAGCUGCAGCAGAUGGAAUGUCAGAUAAAGAAUUCAGGAUAUACAUGCUUCAGAUGAUCUGGAGUAUCAAGGAAGACAUUAAACAGCAAAAUCAGACAAUGAAAGAUCACUUCGACAACGAAUUACGCAAACAAAUCCAGGAAGCAAAGGAUCAACUAUACAGGGAGAUAGAGGUUAUAAAAAACAAGCAAUCAGAAAUCCUAGAAAUGCAGGAAGCAAUAAACCAACUUAAAAACUCAAUGGAGAAUACUACCAACAGAGUAGAACACUUAGAAGAUAGAACAUCAGACAAUGAAGACAAAGUAUUUCAACUGGAAAAGAACAUAGACAGCUCAGCAAGACUGUUAAGAAACCAUGAGCAGAACAUCCAAGAAAUAUGGGAUAACAUUAAGAGACCAAACUUAAGAGUCAUUGGGAUACAGGAAGGUACAGAGCUCCAAACCAAAGGAAUGAGCAGUCUAUUCAAUGAAAUAAUACAAGAAAACUUCCCAGACUUGAAGAAUGAGACAGAAUCCCAAAUCCUAGAAGCCUACAGGACGCCGAAUGUGCAAAAUCAUAAGAGAUCCACACCUAGACACAUUAUAAUGAAGAUGCCCAACAUACAGAAUAAGGAGAGAAUUUUAAAAGCUACAAGAGAAAGGAAGCAGAUUACAUUUAGGGGUAAGCCAAUCAGGAUAACAGCUGAUCUUUCAACACAGACUCUGAAAGCUAGAAGAUCCUGGAAUAACAUAUUUCAAACACUGAAAGAAAAUGGGUUCCAACCAAGAAUUGUGUAUCCAGCGAAAUUAAGCUUCAGGAUGGAAGAUGAAAUUAAAACCUUCCACGAUAAACAAAAGUUUAAAGAAUUCGCAGCUAGAAAACCAUCUCUUCAAAACAUCCUNNNNNNNNNNNNNNNNNNNNNNNNNNNNNNNNNNNNNNNNNNNNNNNNNNNNNNNNNNNNNNNNNNNNNNNNNNNNNNNNNNNNNNNNNNNNNNNNNNNNNNNNNNNNNNNNNNNNNNNNNNNNNNNNNNNNNNNNNNNNNNNNNNNNNNNNNNNNNNNNNNNNNNNNNNNNNNNNNNNNNNNNNNNNNNNNNNNNNNNNNNNNNNNNNNNNNNNNNNNNNNNNNNNNNNNNNNNNNNNNNNNNNNNNNNNNNNNNNNNNNNNNNNNNNNNNNNNNNNNNNNNNNNNNNNNNNNNNNNNNNNNNNNNNNNNNNNNNNNNNNNNNNNNNNNNNNNNNNNNNNNNNNNNNNNNNNNNNNNNNNNNNNNNNNNNNNNNNNNNNNNNNNNNNNNNNNNNNNNNNNNNNNNNNNNNNNNNNNNNNNNNNNNNNNNNNNNNNNNNNNNNNNNNNNNNNNNNNNNNNNNNNNNNNNNNNNNNNNNNNNNNNNNNNNNNNNNNNNNNNNNNNNNNNNNNNNNNNNNNNNNNNNNNNNNNNNNNNNNNNNNNNNNNNNNNNNNNNNNNNNNNNNNNNNNNNNNNNNNNNNNNNNNNNNNNNNNNNNNNNNNNNNNNNNNNNNNNNNNNNNNNNNNNNNNNNNNNNNNNNNNNNNNNNNNNNNNNNNNNNNNNNNNNNNNNNNNNNNNNNNNNNNNNNNNNNNNNNNNNNNNNNNNNNNNNNNNNNNNNNNNNNNNNNNNNNNNNNNNNNNNNNNNNNNNNNNNNNNNNNNNNNNNNNNNNNNNNNNNNNNNNNNNNNNNNNNNNNNNNNNNNNNNNNNNNNNNNNNNNNNNNNNNNNNNNNNNNNNNNNNNNNNNNNNNNNNNNNNNNNNNNNNNNNNNNNNNNNNNNNNNNNNNNNNNNNNNNNNNNNNNNNNNNNNNNNNNNNNNNNNNNNNNNNNNNNNNNNNNNNNNNNNNNNNNNNNNNNNNNNNNNNNNNNNNNNNNNNNNNNNNNNNNNNNNNNNNNNNNNNNNNNNNNNNNNNNNNNNNNNNNNNNNNNNNNNNNNNNNNNNNNNNNNNNNNNNNNNNNNNNNNNNNNNNNNNNNNNNNNNNNNNNNNNNNNNNNNNNNNNNNNNNNNNNNNNNNNNNNNNNNNNNNNNNNNNNNNNNNNNNNNNNNNNNNNNNNNNNNNNNNNNNNNNNNNNNNNNNNNNNNNNNNNGGAGUUAGAUAUCAAAUCAGAGACAUUGCUUCUGAUAGAAGAAAAAGCUGGCUACGAUCUACAUACUGUGGGGUCGGGCUCCAAAUUCCUCAAUAGGACACCCAUAGCACAAAAGUUAAUAACUAGAAUCAACAAAUGGGACUUACUCAAACUAAAAAGUUUUUUCUCAGCAAAAGAAACAAUAAGAGAGGUAAAUAGGGAGCCUACACCCUGGGAACAAAUCUUUACUCCUCACACUUCAGAUAGAGCCCUAAUAUCCAGAAUAUACAAAGAACUCAAAAAAUUAAACAAUAAGAUAACAAAUAACCCAAUCAACAAAUGGGCCAAGGACCUGAACAGACACUUCACAGAGGAGGACAUACAAUCAAUCAACAAGUACAUGAAAAAAUGCUCACCAUCUCUAGCAGUCAGAGAAAUGCAAAUCAAAACCACCCUAAGAUACCAUCUCACUCCAGUAAGAUUGGCAGCCAUUAUGAAGUCAAACAACAAUAAGUGUUGGCGAGGAUGUGGGGAAAAGGGUACACUUGUACACUGCUGGUGGGACUGCAAAUUGGUGAGGCCAAUUUGGAAAGCAGUAUGGAGAUUCCUGGGAAAGCUGGGAAUGGAUCCACCAUUUGACCCAGCUAUCGCCCUUCUCGGACUAUUCCCUGAGGAUCUUAAAAGAGCGUACUAUAGGGAUACUGCCACAUCAAUGAUCAUAGCGGCACAAUUCACAAUAGCUAGACUGUGGAACCAACCUAGAUGCCCUUCAAUAGAUGAAUGGAUAAAAAAAAAUGUGGCAUCUAUACACAAUGGAGUAUUACGCAGCACUAAAAAAUGACAAAAUCAUAGAAUUUGCAGGGAAAUGGAUGGCAUUAGAACAGAUUAUGCUAAGCAAAGCUAGCCAAUCCUUAAAAAACAAAUGCCAAAUGUCUUCUUUGAUAUAAAGAGAGCAACUAAGAACAGAACAGGGAGGAAGAGCAUGAGGAAAAGAUUAACAUUAAACAGAGAUGAGUGGGGGGAGAGAAAGGGAGAGAGAAGGGAAAGCAUAUGGAAAUGGUAGGAGACCCUCAAUGUUACACAAAAUUACAUAUAAGAGGUUGUGAGGGGAAAGGCGGGGGGAAACAAGGGAGAGAAUUAAACAACAGCAGAUGAGGUAGAGAGGGAAGAUGAGAGGGGAGGGGAGGGGGGAUAGUAGGGGAUAGGAAAGGCAGCAAAAUACAACAGUCACUAAUAUGGCAUUAUGUAAAAAUUGUGAAUGUGUAACUGAUGUGAUUCUGCAAUUUGUAUUUGGGGUAAAAAUGGGAAUUCAUAACUCACUUGAAUCAAAUGUAUGAAAGAUGAUAGAUAUGUCAUGAGCUUUGUAAUGUUUUGAACAACCAAUAAAAAAAAUUCUUCUUAUAACUUAGAAUCCAUUUUUUGUUGUUGUUGUUGUUUAUUUUCAUAUCUCUUCAUUUUUCUAACAUUUUAAUUCACAUGCAAACUAGAUGUCUGCUACACCAUUAUCUUAUAAGAUAAAGACACAUUGCCUAAUGUAAUUUAUAACAGGAAGACAUGAAGCAGUCCAUUUUUCUAAAGGGCUCCAGAAAUUUAAUAUAUUUUUCCCAUGGCCUGGGAGGUCAGUGUAAAGUAGUUUUAAUUUAGAAGACGGCUUGAUCUAUGACUUUUAUGAAUCAGGUGGCCAGGAAGUUCCCAGAAUCUCUGACUAUACUUUCUUAGCCCAUAUGAUCUAGGAUUUGAAAAGAAUAAAUAUAAUUUGAUAUCACUGAUCCUGCCAAAAGCCAGCGGCAGGCCAGGACCUGGGCUUAUGCAUGAGUGAUAGAGGAAGCUGGGUGCCCACACCCUCUUCAGGGGUUGGGCAGAGAAGACUAAUUUAGAGGAAGUAGGGGCUCCGAGUUGCUUUGAUUUGGACAUUAAAUAGAGGAAUGUGAUUUAAUUUUAUAUAAAUAAAUAUUCUGUUGAACAGGAAGUUUUCCACUUGCUUUCUCUCCAUCAUCCCCUGUGUCCCAGGAGGCUGAGGAUCUGCAUCAACAGGCUCCUUUGUUCUGUGACCUCUGGUUGGGUUCUCCUGCCAAGGGAAGCCCUGGCAGGAGACUGGAGCCUGGUGGAGAGUGAGGGAGGGUCAUUAUUUUCCCAGCUCCCUUGUGGGAAUGAGAGGCUGCAGCUUCAAUAUUUUACCCAAUGCACAGCUCCUGUUGGACACCCCUCCCAUGUUCUUUCCAAAUUCUGGUAACGGCUUCAGUACUAGUGGUGCUAACAGCUUCCCCCAUUACUUGUUCCUAGGUGCCUCACCAUCCCUCACUCACUUCCCUAACCCUGUCUCUUUUGUAAGUGACCCUUUCUUAGCCUUUCACAGGUAUUGAUCCCCUGCUGAGCCCUGACUGAUGCUGUUUGUCAGAUUUUCAGAUGAGAAAAUUAAUUUAUAGAGAGAAGCAAUCAUUUCUCAAAAUAAAAAAAAAUGGGGGGGGACAUUUUGAUUAAAAUGGUGUCAUAUCUUAAUUCAAAUUUCCCGGCCUGUUCCUAAUUCCUAAGAGGUACUUGCUGAGUUCCUACAAAUUUAUGAUUUCCAAACAAAUUGUUUUCCUCAGCUGUCCCCUGUGAACCGAGAGAAAUUGCUGAGUCUUCAAUGUGGAAACCUGAAAAAGAAAAAAAAAAUCAUCAACUCAGGUUUCUACAUUUGAAACUGCACAGAUAAUACAUCUUGUCAAUGAAUUCUGUCACCUAAGAUCUCAACAGCUCAGCUUGUAAUAUGCAGGCUCCUGGGUUCAAAGACAUAAAAUAUGCUUUGACCUUAAUAAAUGUCAGACUGAGCAGAGGUGUACCAACCCUGCACAAUAGGGGGGAGGACUGCAAAUUGUUUGGAAAUGGUGAGUUUUAGAAGCUCAGCAAUGCUAUUGAGGAAUUAAAGAUAAAUUGGCAGUUUGGAUUAAGAAAUGACAAAAAUUUCUAGUCAAAAAGUUCUGAAAUAAGACCUUACAUUCUCUCUCUCUCUCUCUCUCUCUCUCCUCUCUCUCUCUCUCUUUCUCAUACACACACACACACACACACACAAUUUUUAAGGGAGUGGGUUGAAGUUGAAUUGGGGAAGGUAAAAUGGGAUUUCAUACUGUUUUCAUGGGAGGGCAGAAAAGGAAUUCUGGGUACAACCUGAUAUUUGGGAAGGUUUUUUGAAGAAAAUAGUUCCUGGGCUGACUUUGGAGAAUGAAUUAUUCAAGUAAAAAGUGGGUAUUAAGUAAAGGAGUUUAAGUAGAGGGAAUAGCAAGAGUAAAAGGGCAAUUUAGUGAAUGAGAUUAUCAAAUGAAAUUUUGUACUCAGGACCAAAAGAGGCCGUUGGGGCCCAUCAGGACUUUGAAGGCCAGACAUGGCCUGAGGGGUUACCAGGCACAAGCCUUGACCAUGGUCCCAGUCACUUUAGUUAUCGUUCCUCUUAAUCUUGCCACUCUCCUGUGGCCUACACAGGUUCCAAAAGCAAAGGAAGAGCCUCCCCAACUUUCUUAGGAAGUAAACAGGAGCUGACUCCAGGGAAGAGCACUCCUACCUGCCAUUGCCACAGCAGAAAGUCGGUCCAGGGGCAGGUGUUCUCUUUAGUGGAAGUCAGCCUCAUUCACUGGACUGCCCACUGGAAUUGCAUCCCAACUACCUCCUAGUUCCCCCUAUCCUGGAGCAGUGAGUCCCAGCCACAUCCACAGGGGCACAGAACAGUCUAGGGAAUGUUUAGGAAUAUGGAUUUUCAGAUACCCCUGGAGUCAGCAUGGGAACUGACAUUCAAAAAACUCUCCAUGUGACUCAGAUGUCCAGCCAGAUUUCAGAACCUCUCUUGGAGCAGCAUUUCCCAAACUGUGUUCCUCUGUUCUGAGAGCUGCUAGGUCCAAUGAUAUUGGCCAGCUGUCUUGAUUGCAGGACUGCUCACUUACCUGCUGCACUUUAGGAACCUCCAACAGGUAAGGCCAGGAGUUGGAGAGGAAUACAUUACACUAUAUUUUCUAAGUGUAUUUGACCACAGAUAGAAUCAACAUCAGUCUGUCUGUCUCUCUUUGAUGGAGCAUUCCUCAAGACCAUGCAGGACAUAGAGCAAGUCAUAUACACUUAAAAAAUAUAGUGUAAUAUAUUCCUCUGGGACAAAAUUGUCCUAAAAGCUCAUCAGUCACGAAGGUCCAUGCUGCAGGAGUGGGGCCAUGGCAGGGCAGGCUGCCUAGCACCCCGUUGGCCAGGGAUUGCUGGACAGUAAGAAAACUUCCUGGAGGCCAGCAGCAGCCUCCUGCACAAAACCCAACAGGUGAGUGUUCUCUUGCAAACCAUGGCUUUCCAGGGAGCUUCUAGUCACCUGGAGGGGAUGAUCACAUUCCUCCCAGGGACACCACUUCCCACUAGAGCAGAGUGACAAGUCUGGCUGUUGCACUAUGACACACAGCCUCAAAGUGAGGGAUUAGAUACUUAUUUAUGGAGUUUUAGAACUGAGCAAAGAGCACCUCCUUUCUUUCAUGCUUGUUUGCUUCAGGGGCUUCAAAGAGACCUAACAUGGGUCCAUGUAACAGUCACGGGCCAUCCACACCAUGAGGUUGAAGAAGUUGGAAAGGAAGCACACUAGAGCUUUGUACCCACGGGACCCAGACUGCUAAGGAGGAAGAAGGUUGAGUCCCUAAAAGGCAGCAGCUAAAGGAGCCCUCUUUCAAUGCUGAAUGUUCAAUGCAGUGAAUGACAACCAGUGCAGAAAUGAUCGCAACUUGCCACACGUGGCUGACAGGGACGUGCUGAAUGUUGCUGUGACCUUUUUCCUGUGCACAAGGCAGGACUGGCGAGGACAGUGCAGGAUGUUCCAUAGAUCAGCAGAACCAGGAACUGGACAUGGAUCAGCCCUCGCUGGGUUCAGAAGUGUGUUGCACAGCAUCCUGAGAACCAGCUGUGCAUGGGCACACCCAGGCUGCUACUGAAGCCGAGAUGGAGUCUUGAGGCUGGAGAAGUCUAAUUUCAGGAGAAGGAAAGGUUGUGGGAAGAAUGAAAAGAGAGGAGAAGGAAAGAAAAAAGAGAGAAGGAAAAAAUAGCAUUUAAUUGCCCAAUACUGGGAACACACAUUUUCUUUUAGGUUUUGCCAUGACCCCACGAGGUGGGUCUGUUAUUACCCCCAGGACAUGUUGAUAUAAAUAGGAAAUGCAGUGGUCCAGAAGUUUGCCCACAUCACACAGUAAGGAUCUAGAUUUCUGCUUCCCUGACUGAGGGUUUGGGUGCCAGAUGGGAAGGAAAGAAGCAGAUGGAGGGGAAGAGAGAGAGAUGCUGAAGGAAAGAUAGACAGCAAGGCUGGCUCAGGGGUCCUAGGACCAGAAACAAAGCAUAAGAGAAAAGGUUGAAGACUGUACUUCUUUAGGAUCUAAAGUGGGAUCUCGAGACACCCCUUUGUGUUUUUGCUGGAUUCUUCUCUCUAGAAACAUGUGUUUGGUAAUUUCCCCUCUUUCUUGUUGAUGUUCGUCUUCUCUGUUUAUUUACCUGUUCCCUUAGAGCUUCCAGGAAGGGCUGUGGCCUGUGGCCACUUUCCCUCUGGGUGGGAUGGGUAAAUGGACUCAGUGGGAGCAGGGAGGUCCCCUGAGGCCCAGGAGCAUCUUCACAUCCUCAUGGGAACCGGGCCCACCCACCUCUGCUCUUCCAUAAAUGGCGAUUUCUGUCUUGCCAACAGAAAGUUGAGCCCUGCAAUUUUAGUGAGACCACAUGCUUCUCCUGAGAUCUGUCCCUUUGCCAAUGGCCAGAGGAUCCUGUGGCCAGAGGGAUAAUUGGAAAUGCAUGGGCCAGGCAGAUGCCCAAUUCUGACAAGAAUAGCAGUUUGAAUAGCCUGAAGAAGACUUUCAAAAUAGGCAAGGAAACCUUGGCACCAACAUCCCCCUCUUCCUCAACUGUAACCCCAAGCUGGGUACUGCUCAACAGCCCUACCAGUUGCUGCACAGCUCCAUCCUGAAACCACGUGGGAAUGGGAUCUUAUCUGGGGAGAAUGUUUUGGGCUUCCCUACUGGGUAGUACUCACUUUCAGAGGCAAGGAAUCUGUCACAGCAGAGCUGCUGAGUGGCAGCCUCUUUCUCCCUCUAUUCCCAGAAAGCGUCUGCACCUGUGUCUUGCUGUCUUUCAUGACAGUGGGCAGGAUGUGAGCACAGGCUCUGAGGAUACAAGUCAGCUGUGGGCCAAAGCAAAAAUGAAAAUUUCUCCAAGUUCCCCUUUGAUUUCCUUUUGUGGUAUUACUGAAGACAGGGUCAAGAGGUCAUCUAGUUCAUAACCCAAGACAAAACCCACUCUAGAUGACCAGGGCCCAGGAAGGGGAGACUGCACUCACCCAGGGAAGACAGGGUGACACUGAGUCACACUCUCCAACAGCAGUGGAGCAGGCCCCUUCUGCACUAUGUGGAGGUGGAUGCUUCCUGCACAGGGCCCUCCUACAUGAUGAAAGUGGGCCAAGAAAGGACAUUUGAGCUUGUGUGUGUGUGCAUGUGCAUGUAUUCUAACCACAGGGAUUUUCAGUUAGUUGCUUUUAUCUUCCAGUUGAAUAUUCUUUGAUCACACACAAAAAAUUUUAAACUCUGUCAUCGAGAUACAAUUCAUGUUCCAUGCAAUUCACCCACUAUAAGUGUGCCUUCAGUGGCUUUUAUUAUAUUAACACAGUUGUACCACUAACACCAUUUUUAUCACCCCAAAAAGAAAUCCCAUACCCCUUAGCCAUCCUUCCCCCAGCUCUUCCUCAAUCUCCCAGCCCUAAGCAACCAGGAAUCUACUUUCUGUCUCUACAGAUUGAUCAAUAAUCAUCAUUUCAUUUAAGUGGAAUCAUAUAAAGUAUGUUCUUCUCAAUGGGCUUGUUUCACUUAACAUAAUAUUUUCAAGAUUUAUCCAUAUUGUAACAUAUAACAGUUCUUCAUUCAUUUAAAUGAGUUUAAUAUCCCAUUGUGUGGGUAUACCAUAUUACUUUAUUUCACAGCCAUGUGGCCAUUCUCUACUUUUUAUCUAUUAUGAAUAAUCCUCUGUAAACAUUCAUGUACACGGUUUAUGUGUACAAACAUUUUCAUUUCUCGUGGGUAUAUGUAUGGCCAUGUUUUAUUUUUGAAGGACUCUCUGCCCAUUUCCCAAAAUGUAUUUCCAGUGGCAGUGUGUAAAGGUUUCAAUGUCUUCACAUUCCCAACAACACCUGCUCAUCGUCCAUCUUUUUCUGAUUAUGGCCAUCCCAAUGCUGUGAAGUGGUAUCUUUUGUUGUUGUUGUUGUUUUUCUUUUUCUUUCUAUAUUUCUUUAUUUGAGCUUUAUGGUUGUACAUAGUAGCUGGAUUCAUCCUGACAAACUUGGAUAUGCAUGGAAAUGAAUGUUUGUUUGAAGCGGUAUCUUGUGAGUUGGAUUUUUAUUUUCCUGAUGGCUUGAACCUUUGUUUCUGAGAACUUUGUUUUGUCUCAUCCCAUUCUCCAGUUCUUUGCUCAGUCUGUUAAUCUGCAGUCUGAAAGAGGUAGAAAUUCUUCUCUGGGCCAUGACACCAUCAGUUCCCUGAGCUCUCAGAAACUCUGGAGAUAUAUAUAUAUAUAUAUAUAUAUAUAUAUAUGUCACAAAUGUAAACUGAAAAAAAAUAUAUAUCUCACAUUCCACUUUAUCAAUUGUUGUUCUUUGAAGUUCUCUGAAUCCUUUGAAAUUCUCAUACCUUUAUUUUUAACAGCAGGAAUUCUUCAAUAAAUUAAUAGCACAAAGAAAAAAGUGAAGGAGUAUUACUCUAAGCUUUGAAAAGGUAUGAGAUAUAAAUAAAUUUCUAUUAUUUAUAAACUCCCAGUCUAAGUCAUUUUGUUAUAUUAGUAUUACUCUAAGUUUUGAAAAGGUAUGAGAUAUAACAAGUGUAACGUGCAUUAUUUUUAUACCAGUAUUUGAACAAAUCGGUAAUAGAAAGACUUUAGGGGGAAUCUGAGAAAACUGAGUUGGCAAAGGUACUAGAUGAUACCAAAGAAUCGUUGUUAAUUAUGUUAGGUAUGCUGAUAGUAUUGUGAUCAUCUAGGAAAAUAUCCCCAUGUUUUACAGAUAUCUACUAAAGCAAGUAAAAUGAUACAGUGUGUAAAAUUUGCUUUAAAAUACAUCAACAAGGGGAAAAAAGAAAGAAUUGAAGCUCGGAUGGCAAAAUAUUCUACAAUGGGAUUUUGAGGCUUAUUUUUAUCUCUAAUUUCAUAUAUGUUUAGAGUUUAUAAUAAAAUACUACUGAUAAUAAUUACAGAUGCAAUUCUAAAACACAAAUGUAAACUGAAAAAAACUAGAAAAUAUUUGGGUCCCAGACUAUAGAAUGCCAUUCAUCUACGUUCUGUUAAAGUAUGUAGUAGGCCUAUUACUUGAAAAGUUUAAAAAGUGACUCAAGCCAUAUAUUCUACGUAGUAUUUUAGCUAAAAGCCUGUAAUGUUAGCUCAUGUUCUGAUGUUGGGUUAAAGCUUUAUUCUCUGAGGAUAAGCUUUGUGACUGGCAUUUGGGUUGUUAUUUUUUGACAUAUUACUAUAAUGUUCUUAUCUAUAAUUUUUAGUUUUAACUUCUUCAAAGGGAAAAGAGAAAGUUUAGCUAAUACAGUACAACUUGAUUGUAAAUAUUUUUAGGAACUUAGCUUUGCUUGCCACUUAAUUUGUUUUUCAGUAUAAUCGACAACUCCCUUUUUUAUACUUGCAUUUAAUUGAUUUAUAGAAUAAUCAAAUGAAUUAUAUUGUUAGGAUUCCAAGGGCUGCUGCCAUAGACCGCCUUGAGGACAAAUGAAGUUGGCUCUUAGUAAACACAUUGCUCAGUUAGUGGGAGCAAAAGUGCAUGGUGCAGUCUUCUAGCUGAGACACACUGGCCAGCACCUUCCACAGGAAGAUAGAACGAGCUAUAUAUGUGUCUCUUGAAAAUUCAUAUGUUGCAACUUAAUUCCCAAGGUGAUGGCAUUAGGAAGUGGCUGUCUUGGGAGGUGAUGCUCUUGUGGAGGAGAUUCAUGCCCUUGUAAAAGAUCCUGAGAGAUAGAGAGAUUCGACCUUCUGUCCUGUGAGGAUGAGGCUAUAAGCUGCCAUCUUGGAAGGAGAGAACAAGCCUUUACCAGACACCAAAUCUGUUGGCACCUGGAUCUUGAACACUCCAGCCUCCAGAACUGCAAGAAGUAAAUUUCUAUUAUGUGUAAACUCCCAGUCUAAUCAUUUAGUUAUGUCAGCAGGAAUGAACUAAUAAAGAAAUCAUGAUGAAAAGAGUAGGCUAAGAGGCAGUCAUUUUAAAGCUUGUUCUUAUGAGGAGCAAAAAAUCUAAGCCGUAUGACUAAUUUGUUCAUCUUCCAUAAGUUUUUUGAGUGAUGGGUACCUGGCCAACAGGUAUGCUGAAUCCAGAGAAUACUCAACAUAGUACUACAGACAGUGAUUCAUUCAAAUAAUAAGGCUGUGGCCAAGACCCAGGAGGCAGCAAACCAGGGAGAGGGGAAGUGGGCCCAUGAGGCUGAGUGCUUUGAUUAAGCAUCGUUGGCUGUUGCCCCUUCCUCUCCAGAGAUCAAAUUUGUUUAACUGUUCCUGUGAUGAAUUUACGAUGAGCUUGAAACCAGCAACUAAAACUUAAGCAUUCUGAACUCCAUUGCAGCUGCUUUCAAAGCUCCGCUUGUCUCUGUGUGGUGAGGCUGGGAGUGGUUGUUUUGUUCCCCUCUGCCAGGUGGUUUGGCAACCAUGUCCUUGUAGAACACAGUGUGAUCCUGUGGGAGCAAGAGGGAGAAUGAUUAUGAAUCACUGCAUAUCAGCACUGGAAGGGGCCGCCAUGGGCUCCGUUUCAACUGCCCCAUUUUAUAGAUUAGGAGACUGAAGUCUAGUGAAGAGGGAUGGCUUGGCUUUUUACUAACUUGACAACCACACUGACCACAUCCAACAAACAUAGAUAAGCUAUUAUUCCAAAACCUCUGCUCCAAAUUCUCUUUAGCUCUGAGGGACACUCUGUAUCACUGGAUGAUCAUAACAGGGGCAAAGUGACCGCUGAACUACAGAAUAGAAGAGAGACUUCAUUGCUUAGUGGGAAAAGAUCUUUAGUGACCACAUAACCUGAAGCUUUCAUUUUGUAGUUGAGGACACUGAAACUUGGAGCAGAUUAGUGACAGAAUGAUCUCAGGAAUGACCUAAAACAAGCAAACAAAUUUAAAAGUGUUGGAAAUUAAUUGGUGGCAAUAUGUACUACGUGAGCUACUAAGAUCUUCAUGUUGGCUGGAUUAGUUUCAUCCCAUGCAUUUUCUACCUUUCGUACCUGGAGCAACUACAGAGUAAGUUCUUAAAAUGAAUUGUGAAUCUUACCACUAUCUUACCACUCGAGCUAACACAGCCUCAAGCACAGUGUAUGUUCCAUAAGAUUAGAGAUAGUCAAGGGCAUAACUGGCUUAAGGAGUAGGGGAGCAGGGCACAAUGGCACACCCCUGUAAUCCCAGCGGCUUGGAAGGCUGAGGCAAGAGGAUCAGGAGUACAAAGCCAGCUUCAGCAACAGUGAGGCACUAAGCAACUCAGCGAAACUCUGCCUCUAAAUACAAUACAAAAUAGGGCUGAGGAUGUGGCUCAGUGGUUGGGUGUCCCUGAGUUCAAUCCCUGGUACCCCCUGCCCAAAGAAAAGGGCAGACUUUGAGGUGUGCCUUGGAAAAUGGAGAGGAUUUAGAGGGGUGAGUUAUGGAGAUGGGAACUGGGAAGAGUAGGUUCUUGCAUGGGAAAUACUGAACAUGUUAAGGAUACAGAGGGCAGUGCCCCUGGUUUGAGAAGACUUGGGACAUCCAACUGUCCCCGGAGCAGUGGACUAUGGGAGUGGUGGGCAAGGGGAGGCAGGCUUAUCACAAAAGGUUAAGAACUAUCUGUUCUUAAUUUUUCAGAAGGCUCUAGAGAGGCUUUCGGUUCCCAGGAGGGAAGAUCAUACAUAAUCCAUUCUUAGGAAAAAGUCAUUGCAGAAGCUGAUAUUCAGCGUGACCUGGGAAUCUUCCCCACUUCAGCCAAAUCCUCUGGCUCUGUGAAGAGGUCAGAAAUACACUGGAAAUUGAGUUUAUUGGGAAAUACUUUCAGAUCAUGGGAUAUCUGUCAGGGAGAUAAGCGUCCUUAUGAUGGUCCUGGUGAUUUGGGCCCAGCUGGUUCGGGAAGUGCAAGGAUGCGUGAAGAUUAGAAAUGCGAGAGGAGAAUGAUUGCCGAGCACCCUUUUGUUCUUCAGAAAGGUUCAGGCUCAGUUCAAGUUUGAGGCUGAGGUUUUGAUCCAAUAUUGAUUUUAUCAGCACCUGUUUGCCCCAGAACUUAAAAAAAAAAAAAAGAUAGUUUGUAUUCAUUCUUAGGAUGCAGUGGAGGAAAUAAUACUGACCACUUGUUGAGCAUCUGCUAUUAGGCCCUCUGUUAGGCUCUCAAAUGUAUUUUCAGCAAUAUACCCUCACAUAUACACAUGUACAAUCUUUUCAGCAACUUUUAGAGUUUUUUAUUGGUUCAGAAAGCUUUUUUAUUUUAUUUUAUUGGGGGUCAUGCAACCUGGACCUGGCCAGUUAUAAUCAUUCAUCACCUAGCCCAAUGACUGGACCAAGGAGUGAUGCAGGACCCACUCUGCACCAAUCACAGCCCUUUUUUGAGACAAUAGCUUCAUGCUGAGAAGAGAAGUGCUGUCUGCUGGGGUUGCUAAACUGAGGCUGUGGUGGUCCCUGGGACAAUUGUACUACUGUGCCCCUUCUGCCCAGGCCUGCUUCUUUUACUAUCUCAGGCUUUGUUCCUGAGUGUUUGCCUCACCACCUUCCUGCUCAUUUUCCUCCUGCACAGAAUGGUUUCCCAGGGAAUCAACCAAAGAGGAAGAGGGGAAGUGAAGGGGCAAGAUAGUAAUAGGGAUGGGAUGUUGAUGUUUGACUCUACAGAGGAUUUUCCUUUCAUUGCACAGUAUAAUUAAAAUGUAAAAAUACAAGCAUUCAAGAAACUUUCAGCAUUCAUUCAGCAUUUUUUUCCCAGAGGAAAACUCAAACCAGCAGCCUCUCCAUCAACUGUCAGAACUAUUUCUAGAAUAUGUCAGUGAUGGUUUAGCCCAAAGCAGAGGAGGUAGUCCAGAUAGCCUCUCAAGGAUGCUGCUAGUUUCAUUUCUAUCAAUUACCCUUUGCACAUCUAAGAGUUGCUUUGAUUGGAAGAUUUCUGAUAAAUUUUGCAAUUUGCAGGAGUGGAGAUUCAGUGCCUUUUAGCUGAAUGGGCACUGAUGGCAAAUGCCUCUGAACUAGCAGGGGGCAAUGCCGACAUUGGCCAGGCUACUAACUCUGGUCAACUCAUUGUUCCAUCGCUGACAUGAUUGCCAUUCUCAGAUCUACGGUGAACAAAUCUACAGCGGCAUUCCAAGAACUAAAAUACCCUUUCCCCACUCCAGAGCAGGAAGAGAUCUUCACAGUAAAGAGGUGUGGUCCCAAGGCCCAGGUUGCCUCUCACACAAUCACCAAGGAGGGGCCAAGUGCAAGCUGAAAUCCACUUUCACUCUGCUUGCCAAGCCAUGUGCCUUUCUUCAGUCUUCACAAAAGUUCCCCCGCACCCUGACCAGUUUCUCCCUGCCAGGAGUACACCUCCUUCCCGUGUAAACAUUUUCCCACCUGAAAAAGAAAGGAGCCUGGGCCCCAACGUGAGUGGAUGCCAGGAUCUGGGACACACCUGUGAUGGGCAGGUUUGUUCACAAUCCAUGGAGCAUAAAGGCUUAAUUUGUUUUUACAUUAAACAGACUGACUGUGACAACAAUUUCCUGCUUCAUUAUAUCAGUUCAAGGACUGAAAGCAUUUUGGAGAACAAGGAAAAGAACUUGCCGGGUUUUGUUUUUCAUGUAUAUAUUACUAUUCAUGUAGAAAGUUCACAGAGUUUACCUGUAACCUAAGCUCACAACCAAACAAAAAGAUUAGAGCUGGUCAUGUAGGGAUUAGCGAAAGGCUUCAAGUGAGACCAAAGAAAGACAAAUACAAUUUUUCCUUUCCUCUCUUUUAUGCCCUUGUUAAACUAUACACAUUAGUCAAUAUCUUGAAAAUUCUCCAGAGAAGGUAAUUCCACCUUCCUGAACUACAAAUGCUUGUGGGUGACCAUGGGGGUAUGCCAGAAGCACACUUCAGCCCAGUCUUCACUGCAAAGGCCUUUGGUCAUUCUGAAGGGGUAGAUAUACCCACAAAAGUGGAAGGCCAGGCCAUUUCUGAUCAGUUAAACACCCUGCAGUGAGACAUGGGCUGAAGGUGCUGGAGUUGGUGAGAGCAGUUAGCAUAUUUGCACUCCAAACUCUCAGUCUGAGGACAGAAAGAGCCUCCGUAGAGAUGUUAGAGUCAAUGGGAAAUGAAUUUGGCCUUGAGUUAUUCUCUGAUCCAUUUGAUUCAAUAUUAAUAUUAAUAAAAGAAUCCAAAAAAAACUAAUUUCAAAAUAAGGAUAGUUUGCCUGGUUCAAUGAGUAUCACUUGCUUGGAGCAAUUUGAAUGAUUUUGCCUCUGAGUUUAACAUGGCUUUUAUUGAAGAACUCUUUCUAAUGGGAAAGGAAAGCAGUAAGUCACCAGUACUUUAGCAAGAAUGAGUUUAUCAUCUGGAACCAGGGAAUGAGAAGAGAAGUCUGGUUGUGUGGGUUGUAAUUAUAAUGGUCAGGGACCUGGAAAUGAAGGAGAAAGAAAGCCAACAGGUAAGUUUGUCUCCAACCUUCUCCAUGAAUUUGUUCAAGGUUAACAGAUCAGGCUAUCUUAGCCUCAGUUGUGCAGUCAGUGCAUUGGGAGAUGUGGAUUUCCUUAUUUUUGUAUGACAGGGUUAUCACUGACCUCCAGACAUAAACAAUACAUCCCACAAGCCGAUGCUGUUGAGUCAGGUUUGGCCCACCAGGAUCAGGGCAAUUGAAAACCAAUCUUUCCUGACAAGCCCUUUUUGAAUUCCAAAGUUGGUGCGAAGCAUCUGAAAAAAUAAACCCAGGCGGAAAUAACUCCUAGAGGGAACACAGCUGCUCUAUAGUUGUUCUGUGGGGUUAGGCACCCAGAGAAAACCUUCCUCCUGCAAACAGAACAGACCAUAGGAUCUGGAGGAGAGAGGCAACAGAGCAGCUAGAGAAUGUGUAGCUCUGGGUUUACCUGAACUCCUUGUGUUCCAAAAGGUUUUCUGCAUGAAAGACCCAUGAUCACCUGGCAGCCCAUCUAGAUACACUGAUCCAUCCAUCCAUCCAUCCAUCCAUCCAUCCAUCCAUCCAUCCACCCAUAUCCGUCUAACUGCCCUUUGUCCACCCACCCAUCUACCUAUCCACUUGUCCCCCAAACAGUAGUUGAUACCUGUUACAAGUGUCAAGUUAAGAACAGAUGGUCACAUAUACCCAUCAUCUACUCCCUGGGUAGGCAGGAAAUAGGGAGAUGUCUUUGGUGAAGGAAAUAGCUGAUACACAGAUAAAGCCCAGCAAGAAGCAGCACAGCACAGAGCUAAGGAGCCCAGGCUCUCGACUAAGCUGUGUUUUAACAUGAUUCUUUCUACUUGAACAGGAAAGUUACCUAACUUCUGAGUUCCGUCUUUUGUGAAAUGAGGGAAUUAAUAGUAGCUCUCAGUUUACAGGGUUGCUAUAAGAAUUAAAUGAAAGUCAAAUGUUUAGCACAGUGCCUGGCACCUACAACAUGCUCACGACAUUUUAGUUGUUAUUGAAGACAGGACAUCUGGAGAAGCGGAGGUGAAUUCUUUAGCCUAAAGAGGCAGCGGGCAAAGGGAGUUUCUUAAGAGACAAAAGGAUGAGUCAGAUGCCGUGGCCAGGCCCUCAGGACAUUUUACAUAAGCCUAGCCACCACCGGGCAUGAAGGGACUAAAUUGUGGAGGAAACUGAAACCUGUGGUUUUCUCCAUUUGUUGGUCUUCAUGUUCUUGGAGGUCCAGCAGCACCUUAAACCAAUACUGUGGUUGAAAGGCCCUGCUGAGAAGAGUCCUCAGUUGAGGCGCAUCCCCCUACAAGAACAGAGGGAGGGAGGUCAGUACACUUAGAGGACAGAAAUCCUGAUAAGGGGCUCAUUGUCAGCCAGGACAGCCUGCAGUGCAAGUCAAGGCAGCCAAAGCUCCUGAGCCUGGGGGGUCCUGGCUCUUCUCUACUAGAUAUUCCCCAAGGAAGCAACUGAUAAAGGGAGGUCAGAAGUUUCAGGAAAGUCAAAGACAGAGGGGUUCCCAUAAAACACGGUGACUUCUGCCAACACACUGGAAUGUCUGGAGGAAGGAGAGACCCUGGUCAGAAUCAGACGUCUGGGUGGGAUGGAAAGGUCAGAUUAUAUGGUCCUUGGAAGGGAAGGGUGGGGAACGCCCUCCACAGGCUUCUUUGGGCCAGCUGGUCCUGGGAACAUGGCAGUCAAGGUCAGAUUGAUGGACGAUACUGUGGUUAAUAGGGAGAGGCUCCUUUCAGCCUGGGGAUAGGGACUGGGGAGCAUGAACUGAACAGAUGGAGGUGAGUGGAUUACCAGAGUAGACAGCAGAGGCCCUGGGGGACCCAUUGUCAAACAACUCUGGGACUCUUUCUGUCUACCUAGAAGGUGAAAAGCAAGUGUCUGGACACCCCUGUAGACAGCAGUGAGACCUGCCAUGUGGGGUUAGCAGCCUGAAUCUCUGAUGGGAAUACAAAGCCAUCAGAAGAUUGGAGAGACCCUGAACACAGGAAAAAGUGAUUGUAAAAGAAUUGUGCCUCUGGUUCUGAAAUGCUGAGCUGGGAGACAGGCUAAGAGGAAGGUGGCAGUACUUCCAUCUUACUCUUGAGAGCCUCACUGCUUGGUGGCAGACACUCCUGCAGCAAGGUCCUACAGCAAGGUAUAUGCCCAAACGCACUGGGACAACAGGCCUGACUUGUUCAGGACAUGCCACAUGCAGGGAUCUCAAAAAAUUCUAUCUCAUCCUUUAAUUCACAUCAGGAUAAGCUCAAAUACCAAUUCAAAAGCCUGUGGGACAUACAGAUCACCUCUAAGAUACCUAUCAAUCCUCAGGAGGCCUAUCUGUGGUCAGCCUUGGCUCUGAGUUCCUGCUUCCGCAUACAAUUCCUGACUCAGCUCCCUGUUCUGUAGAUCUUGUCUUCAUCUGACAUCAUGGUGAUCCACAUGUGGAAUUUGUCUUUUCCCCUUGAUUUCUAUGAAAACUGAUGCUCCUACCCUGCCUAUGUGAAUGCCUGUGAAACAGACUUUGCUGAAGGGAUUAGGGACACUGCAGAGGGCGUCACAUCAGGGAAGAGCUGGUGACUGUAUAUUCUCAAUAGACUUCUUCAUUCUCUUCGCAGCUUGUUGACUUCUCAACCAAGUAGCUCGCCAUCCUUUUUUUUUUUAGAGGAGGAAAGGUUUAUUUAGGGGCUCACAGUUUCAGAGGUCUCAAUCCAUAGAUGGCCAGCUCCAUUCCUUGGGGCUUGAGGUGAAGCAGAAAACCACGGUGGGAGAGUGUGGCAGGCAGCUCACAUCAUGAUCAGGAAGCAUAGAGACUCCAUUCGCCACAUACCAAAUAUAUAUACCCCAAAGCCAUGUCCCCAGUGCCCCACCUCCUGCAGCCACACCCAGCCAGCCUUCAGUUACCAUUCAGUUAAUUCCUAUUAACUCAGUGAAUUAACUGGGAUGCUCACCAUCUUUCUUUUUUUUUUCCCCAUCACUCCUCCACGAUCUUUCUCUCCUUGUCUCCAUCCCCAACUCCUGUGGAAUUCCAAUUCAGAGUUUAAUUAUCAUGACCUUUAUCCAUCUUUUUUUUUUUUGACCAAGCUAGGCCCCUCUUAGAAAAGGUAAAAUAAUUUUUUCUCACUCUGACAAGCUCAACUGAGGGCAGAUCAUAGGAGGCUGCUUUUCUUUCUGGCAUAGAAAGAGUUAGGACUUUUCUUGCUCCUGUGACAUCUGUGAAGCUGGUUCAGGAAGCCAAGGUGGCCCUGAAGGUUCUCAUCCUUCCUCUGCCUGGGGAAGUUCUCCCUGUGCUGCUGGGAUCUUCUCCAAGUGCUGCUUUAUCUUCUCUACUAGGUAAGGGAUGACCCUAGACCAUGCAUGAUGACCCCAGACCAACUGCUAAUCAGAGCAGCAAACUUUAGACCUGGAGGUCACCCCUCACAAGCAUUAUUUCUUUUAGUGAAAAUCAAACAAAACUUUAACCCUCAUUAGGAAAAAAGGGGCAUGGAGUGGUUCAGAGCACUUGCUAUGACUAUUGCCUCCACUCUCCAUUCAUUGACUACUCUAGGAUGGAUACAACUGAACAGAAGGACAGAAGGGAGUUACAGUUAUUGACUGGCCAAAUAGAUUUUUAUUGAAUACUUUGAAUACAUGAUACCAUUUUGUCUUUCAAGAGAAUCUUCAAGGUUUCUCCAACAGAUUUAUGUACAUUUUAUAGAUGAAGAAACCAAGGCUUGGAGGUGAAGUCUUAACCAAUCAGGGGUAAAGGUUGAUUUGAACAUAAUUUCCCCUCCUCCAAAUCCCAGUGGCUAUUAUUGUGCCAGUAUCCAUCCCCCAUCCCAUGGUGACUGCAUGCACAGGGAACAGAUAUGAGAUUAGGAGAGGAAAAUGCCUACAAGUCUGAAGAGUAAAGAAAGACACAACGAUGCUGAGGUCCAGGUGGGCCUCUGCAACUACAGCCUUUAGAUAGUAAGUUCUUAGUUUUCCCCUUGGUUCUUGUCAAGGCACCUAUGGGAAAAACCCUAAUCUGUCUCAGAUGAAUAAAAAAGCAAGGAAAUUUUGUUAAUGUUCUACUACUUUUCCUUUAACAUGUCCCAGAGAGUCUAGUGUGGGAGUAGAGCUGCAAGAACAAUCACCCUGAAUCACACCUGAGCCAGGUGCUACACUGCUGCUAGAAUUUAAAACCACAUUUCCUCCUCCCAGUAACCAAGUAUUGGAAAUGUUGACUGGCCUUAUUUUCUAAAUAAGGAGGUGAAGAAACUUAACAGCUUGAUGACUCAUCAUAUAAUUAGUCUGUAAACUCUCAUGUCUUAACAGUUUUCAUCAAGAGCUUUUAAUGCCCUCUAACCUUUCUUGCAAGUAUCAUAUAUAAUCAUGCCAACACCCCCACCCCAUUAUCCCUCAGAGUGGUCUUAAAAAUCUCUUUAAAAUCAGUAUUACUACACACUGUAUGUUAGAGACAGAUGGAUAUCCUGUCAGAUCACAAAUACGGAAAGUAUUAUUGUGGCUUGGGGUAACAUUUCCAAUGACAACAUCAUACUUAGGUUCAAAAAGUGCUGAAUCUCAAGCAGCUUAGAUGAAUAUGAAGAUGCUGUGCUUGAGAAAGUGGGCUUGGAGAACCAGCUAGUGAAGAUCCAGAUACUGAUGUCAAAGGUGCAUUGAUGAGUCCGAUUAAAAGCUCUGUUGUGAGGGCUGGGGUGUGUCUCAGUGGUAGAGCACUUGCCAAUCACGCCUGAAGCCCGAGUCUGAUGCUCAGCACAGCAGAAAAAAAUAAAAUCAUAUUGUGAGCCGGUAAAGGCAAUAUUUCUGCUUUAGAAACAUGAUGUAAUUUUUAAACAUAUAAUUGAAACUAUUAAGAUAUUAAUAAUAUUUAUAUUUAAUAUCAUAUGUGAUUUUAAGUAUAAGCAAUUAAAAUACAUUAAGUAUUAUGUAGAGAUGUCUUUCUAUAUCAUCUAAGCUUGACACAUUUCUAUAUUCAAGUCAUCAGUCUUGGGAGCUCAUUAGGUGAAUGGGCGCUUACUCAAAUGUCAUGCACCCUCUGCUCCCCUCUCAUGGAGGUGAUGGCUAUAUCUUAACUCACAUGUGAUCCAGCAUACAAUCUGUCCCCAGUCACAGGGUGUUGAAUUGUUGCUGCCAUUUAUAGAGAUAAAGAAAUAGGGAUUCCAACAGGCUAGGAGACUUUGCCAAAACACACAGCUAAUAAUGAGCAGGGCUGGUUCUGGACACUUUCCUGGCUUCCCAGCCAGGGUACAAGCUGCUACACCAAGUGGGAGCACAAGGAAACAUUUCCUCCCACCCCACUGGGAAAAGAGCUCCAUCAGGCACUUCACAAAUCCAUGACUUGUGGGCCACAGAGUCAGAGGAUCUCUGGAGGCGUUUGUUAUUCCCAGGUUUGGCCACAGCCCAGGGCAAUGCCUUGCACAGGAGUUUAGCCUUUUGCUAAUUCGUUCUUAAUUCAUGACAGCUGAGAAACAGAACUGGCCACAUUGGAUCAUGUGGUUUAGAAAUUCCACUUUUUUUAACUAACAGUAUCUCUUUAUUUUCUCCUUUUCUUUCAACACAUGGUAGCAGCAUUACGCACUGCUGAUAAACUACGUGGAAGGGGCCAUUCCUUGGAACACUCUCAGUGGGAACAGACUCAGUGGAAAAUUCUGCAGAUGUGUGGUAACGUAUGAAAUACUAGGAAAAGGGAUUUGACAGAACAGGACUGACAGCAAGGUUGCUAAUGAUGCCAGUUGACAUAUAUUUUUACAUGGAAUUGAGUCACAGAAAUUUAAUCACAGUUUAUGGAGAUUCUGGAGGUACAUUCCCACAAGUUAAAAAAAAUGUGGUCUCCAGAUAUAAGAAUUAUACUUUUUUAAAAAAAAUGUUAGAAUCCCCUUCUAUGGGGCUAGGGGUGUAGCUCAGUGGUAGAGUGCUUGCCUAGGGUGCACAAGGCUCUGGGUUCCACACCCAGCCUGGGUGGGAGUGAGGGGCAGGGGGAGAAUAUGCAGUGUGUGUGUGUGUGUGUGUGUGUGUGUGUGUAUGUGUGUGUGUGUGUGUGUUGGAUCUUUCUCUCCUUGGGACAGGAAAUGCUCUCCAUAGCAUGACCAUCUCUGGUGGAAUCAUACUGCAGUCACAAGUGUUUUUCUGCCUUGCUGUCUUCCCACCAUUCAACCAAUCAAAAUGCCCUGUGGAUCUCCCCGACUCUGUCUUCUUUCUUUCCAGCCCCUCUACAGACCCACUUCUUUCUCUCAAAGUUGCCCACCAUAAAACAUUCCUCCUGGGCCCUCACUUUGAAGUGAUGAGGUCCCACAGUGGUAGGGUCAGAAGACACUUUGUUAGCUCCCUCCAUGCAAGCCCUUUUGGACACAAAGAAAAGGACUAAAGGACCAAAGAAUUCUAUCUUUAGUGGUGACCUGUCAGGACAAACUCUGAGAUUGACAUCUGUAGUCUCUUAGUGCUUUUCCAGGUCCCACAAGAGCAACCAAUGGGACAACCUGACCAAAGGGAUCGGUCCUUGGAAUCUUGGCAUUAUUCUUGGCCUUGCAUCUCUCCCCCAUUUGACCUUAACAGCCCCCCAGAUCCACCUCCCUGGGUCUGGAGGGCCUACUCACUGUGGGGUUGCUACCCAGAAGAAAUUCCAGAUUCAGACUGCUGGCAAGAGUGACUCGGAGAGGACGGCCUGGGCUUAAAUCCUCAUAGUCAAAAGCAAACAUUUACUACAGCCCCUUGAAGAGUCAACUUUUAUGUUACUGCAAACUUGGCUAUUUCAGAGAGACCAAAGGCCAAAAAGGCAGUUGAUAGUUCACAUUUAUCAGCCACCACCUAAACCCUUCAAUGUAGUCUCUUCCUUCCCAAGAUAAAGCCAAGAACUACAGCAGGGCCUCAAGAUGGGGCCUUGCUGAGCUCUCUGGCUUCACUCUGCUCCACCGACCUCUCUUCUGGGGCACUUCAGCCAUCCUGUCUCCUUUCUGGGGGAGGUGUUGCCUCAUUCCUUAAUCCUGGUCAGGCCCCUCAUCCCUGCCCCAGUACACCCGCUCAGCAACUUAACAGUUUCUGAAGGGCUUAUGCAAUUGUAAUGAAGUGAUGAUUGAGAAACCAGUGAGUGUCUACUUCACCUUCCUGAAUGUCAUCUCUGAGAAGACAGGGCACAUCUCUCUCUUGGCCCCCACAAUAUUAGGACCUUGUGUUACGUAUAUAAGGAGUACACAAGAAAUAAAAAGAUUGGUCAAGGUGGGCAGAAUUCUGGGCAACCACACACUGAAUAUGGGGGUUGGCCCAGCUGACUAGCUGUGGGAGCCCAGAGGGGUGCAGCCUGGGUGGCUUGUGAGGGCAGCCAAAGGACAAGCUGGCAGGCCAACUUGGGAGGGAAGCUCAGGCAUGGCGCAUUUCACAAAAGGACCAUGCACCGUCUUAUUGGCUGUGUUUCUCCAGUGUUGAGUAAAGACAGGACUCUGGAGUUUGGCUUUCUGGUUUUGUUUAUUUAUUUAUUUAUUUAUGAGCAAUACAAGAUUAGAAGAAGAAGAAAAACAAAACUGUUUAGAAGGGAAUAUGACAUUUAUUUAAUUCUUGAAGGUCUGGGAAAUCUCAUGAAGAAUUAGACAAGUUCCGGCAGCCAAACUCCCUCUCUACACUGCACCGCCCAGGAAGGACCCUGGUCAUCCGUGAACCUUAGGGUGUUUGUGGCUCCAACUCAAAGAACUCUGCUGGCUUUGGAGUCUGAAAGAUUUGGGUUCAAAUCUCUGUGUUUCACUUACCAGCUGAAUGAACUCGAACCAACAACAUAAGCUUUCUUUGAGCUUCAACAUCCUGUCCUGUAAAAUGGUCAUAAUUACUGGGUUAACAUAGGAAUUAACAGACCAUAAGUGAUGUUUGACCUAGAGUAAACAAUAGCUGAAAUGACUGACGGAUGAUUUUAUUACCUGCCAGCUUCUAUUUUACUAUUCUGUAAAUUUGGACUCUUCUCUUACUGUGAGUUAAAUAACCCCCUUGAGAAACAGGCAUCACCAUUGAUAGGGAAUUUUUUUCUUAAAUAAUAGGGGGGGGUGGAGAACUUUCUUUAAGCUGUUCUUUAAUCCCAUUCAAUCCAAUAGCAGUUCUGAUUCAGAAACUGCAGGAUGGUAAUCACCUUUGGCAAUGGAUACUUUCCCCUGGCUCAAUGGGAGGGACUCACCCCCAUCCUGCUGUCCCGGAGACCACAAGAAAAACUGCGCUCAGGUGUAGAGCCCAAUUAGCAGGUAAGUUUGGAAGAACACACACAGCGCACACAUUCCUGAGCCAUGAGCGUGGGGCUCUUUGUUUGCCCACUCCUUAUAAGGAGCGAGUUAUCAUCAGUUCUGCAGAAAGGUCACUGCUAUUUCUCUCUCCACAAGUGGCUGAAAUCAGCUUUUUUCCUCAGAGGGGUGGGGCAGUGAUUAAAAGACUAACUAUGCCAGCACUUCACAUGUCCGGCUAUGAGGAUGUUUACAGACCUUGCAACAGAGCUGGGGUUUCUGUCUGAUCCUAGGGACUCUCAGAAGACGCAUUUGGGGAGUCUCCCCUGUGCCGCAGAGGAAGGUCAGCCAAAAGUGUCAUGUCUGCAGCCUGUCGUCAGUCACAAAAGUUGGCCUGGUAGGAGGGGCUGGAGCUGUGUUUUAACCCUCACCGUGUGUCUCUGUGCCUUUCUUCACUGUUGCCUUCACUGAUAACUAGCUCGUGUGCCGUAGUUGUGAGAGUUGCCAAAAUCAAGAUGGAGUCACUUGUGUCAUUCCUAAUAAAUAAGGCCAGGAAGUCCUGAAGGAAUGGUUCUCAUGUACAGUUGCCUGCCAUCACAAAAGAUUCUACGGGACUAUAAACUUGCAUAAAAGGCCACCAUACCCUUACACACACACACACAAAAAAAAAAUACUUAUUUAAGACAUCUGCUCAUAACUGCCCACCCAAACUUGGACUGGUGUCACCCUUGCUAUUAAUCCCUUGUGGUCCAAGAUCAUUGUUUCAAAAUAUCAUAUAGUUCUCAUCAUUUUGCCUUUUAAUUUUUCCCCUUGUCUCCACCUCCUUGGAUACACUCAUUAUGGGCUAUGACACAUGUAUUCCCAUUAUCCUUGCUCUGCUGUUCCCAAAUAAGUAUAUUAGCCUUUUGAGAAUCUCUCUCUGAUUGUUAUUUAGAUUGACAUGAGGUUGAGCAGGUGGUUGCUGCAAGAAGCAGGAGACACGGAAAGUGAGGUCUGAUGCUUUCCCUCCUCUCAGAAGGAUCAGCUCUUUAGCAAGGACUAGAUUCAAAGGCCACCCCUGGAAUCACCAGAGCUCAAGCCUCACCUCAUUGCAGCCCUUAUCCUGCUCCUCUCCUCUCCUCAAGACUCUCAUCCCACCAUCUUGCACCCAAUGCACGACCAGAUGCUCAGCUCUCUGCGGUCUCAUGUGGUUUGUGGUGCUUUCAUGGGUGCUGCCCCCCCACACACACACACACACUGGCCUCUGCCAAAGCCACAGUCCUCGUAAGCAGGUGCUCUAGCUUUCACCUCAUUUGCAACCCUGCAGGGCUCUCUGUGAAAGCUGGUUGAUGGACUGAUGGAAAGUGGAUUUGGCUAUGGAGUCCACAAAGCCUCUCUGAACACACUAUUUUCUAUAGGGUGUUAAGAAUGAGCCUGGGGUUGUUGAGAGCUGGUUAUCUGGAGGCUUCUUGGUCUCCUCCACUCAACAUUUGCUCCUAAUUGUCCCUGGAGAUGAUGAGGCCCAGGAAUUCCACUCUCUGUUCCUUUUGCAGGUGGCCACUUUAAAAAGUCACUUUCCAGAUUCCUCUCCAGGGUCACACCGACCCGACUGCCUGCUGAACUCUACUGUCUGCCCAGCACUGUGCUCAGACAUGUCCUCAGAAACAUUCUGUGUUAAUUCGGGAGUGAAAGUACACACCAAAGUUAUCUCCCCAUCUCGUCCCUCUUUCUUCUAUUUCUUGGGCAUUUUAUAAGUUCUUAUCACAUGUCCAACUUCCUGAUCUUACUUUCCACAGUCUGAGAACUAAGAUCAACUUCCCAAUGUUCCCUUUCUGGUCCUCUGACAUCUUUCAUAGACUCUCCCAGUUGUCUUUUUAUGAGUUUGAUUGUUAACUGCUAUAGAAACAAAUUAAGAAUAGCAACCACAUGGAAGUUGCAAAAGUUCCUGCUGUGGUUUGAAUAUGGUCUGUCUUCCAAAGGUUCAUAGGCUAGUCUCCAAUAUAAUGGCACUGAAAGAUGGUAUGGCCUCUAAGAAGUAAGGCCUAGUGUGUCAGGAAGAGAGGAUUCGCUUCCACCAGAGUGGGUUGUUAUAAAAAAGCAAGCCUGGUCCUUCACUGAUCUGUUGCUGCUUCUCUCACCAUGUAACCUCUUCCACAGGCACCACUCCCUGCUCUUGCACAGUCUGCCACCAUGUGAUACCUUCUACCAUGCUGUGAUUUAGCCAGAAAACCCUCACCAGCAGCCAAACAAAUGGGUUCUGCUUGAUCCUGGACUUUCAGUCUCCAAAAUUGUGAGCUAAAUGAAACUUUUUUCUUUAUAAAAUGUACCCAGUGUCAGGGAUUUUGUUACAGUAACACAAAAUGGGCCAAGAUAUUCCCAAAUCUUUAUAUGGAUGGGAGCUAAAUUGGUGCAACUUUUCUGAACAUCAGAUUGACAAUAUUGCUUUUAAUAGUUCGUGUACUUUAGUUUUUCCUCUUCUCCAUGGUCCUUUGAGACCUGAAAGGGCUAGGUCCAACAGUGGGCAGAUCCCUCAGGCGGCCUACCCAUAGGAAGUUCUCCCAGUGGGAUUCUGGUUCCUGAGAAGACACCCCUGGGAGCUGAGGGACACUCGAGGCUGCAGCCAGAGCUAAGCGGAUGUGCUUUGAAGUAUGAGGCACUGGUAUUUAAAAGAUUAUGGUAUCUGAAAACAUAGUGUUACAAAAGGGAACUUUUGCAAUGACAUUGAAGAUCAUUCCAUUGAUGUUCCUAGAAAAAAAGAUCUCUAAUUUGACUAAUAAGAACAUGAAAGAGCUUAAGAAUUCUACAAAACAGUUGAACAUUUACAUAAAUAGAACAGUUGGACGAGCUAUGAAAUACCCAGAUAAACUAUGUAGGAAAAUCUUUAGCAGAAAGAAAGCUCAUCUUUAUCCAGAUCUUCCUGAUAGGGAAAAAGAAGAAGGAGGAGGAGGAGGAGGCGGAGGAGGAGGAGAAGGAGGCGGAGGAGGAGGAGGAGGAGGAGGAGGAGGAGGAGGAGGAAAUGUCCCCUGCUGAGACCAGGCAAAUAAAGAAAAUGAACUGGCCUAUGCAGGCCACCUGCCUGAGAGAUUCUGACAUGAUAGUUGAAUAGAGCUGGUUAACUCCAGUGAUUCGGAUUACUCACAGACAGAAAGCCCAUCAUUAAAAUAGAUUGUUCUUUUCCCCUGAGGUUUCUCAGGCUCAUGAAAUGAUGACAAAAACAUUGUUCAGCAGGAAUUUAGGAUUGAAUGUAUGUUUACCUUUGCAGAGAAAAAGAAGUGUCUGUGAACUUGCAGCUCACUUGGUGAGGAUAGCAGAUCUUGGAUUUUGAUGGAUUGACUGCUUGCACUCACCAAUAGUUUACAGGAAGAAAAGUAAUAUAUCUCACUUGGCUGCUGAAUAAACUUAUUAUCUCAUGUAAAAUCCUUCAAAGCAAACUUGAGGAACAUGCAGUAGUUUAAACUGGCUUCAAGCCAUGAUUAAAAAAAAAAAAGUUGGUGGUCAGACUAUCAUCAAAACAAAUGAUAAAUUAUGGACAUAUUUCAGAUUUUAAAAUAACAAGUGGACCGUGGAGAUAGAAAAACCAUUUUACUUUGGUUUCAGGAUAUACUUACAGUACAGCUAAAGAUGUAAAUGUUUAUUUAUUUCAGUCGAAUUGAGCGAUUUCAUCUUUGAAAGAGUUAUUUGUUUACUCAAGACAAGCCAGAACUAUAUGAUUUCCAGGAAAAUGUCAUCCAAGAAUUGUGAACUUUGGAAGAAACUGAAACCACAUUUGUCUUUUAAAAGGCACUUAAUAAACUUACAAAUGAAAUGCUAAACAUUCUAUUUCACAUUAAAAUGAAAAAAUAUCCAAAAGAAGUAGCAUCCAAUUCAAUGAGGUGAACAUACAUGAUGAAGAUCAUUUGAUUCUGCUGCACUCAGGAUUUAUAUGGUUAUUUGAUAACAUUGUUUAAGAACUACUCGGUCUUAGUGCAAUCCUGUAUGUUGCUUAAAAAUAUAACUUGUAUUAUGUGAGAAAAUAAUUCAUAGCAUUACUAGGAACCAAAAAGAUCAAUCAUUAUUAAUUUUUUGAAGAUCAUAUUUUAUUAGAAAAUAGUAAAGCAUGUACAGCUAUUUUUGUUGUAGAAAAGAUUCUGAAAGUUUAGAAUUUCUUAAGAAAUAAUCAAUAUUAAAACAUUUUUGUCCACACUGAUACUGCGUAUGAAAAGUGCCUUAAUUAUUAGUAAGUCAAUUUAUUAAGACACCUGUAUCUAUUUUAAAAAUUAUAAAACAAACCAUGUAUCCAUCAUGAAAAAUAAUAGCAGUAAGUCAGAGAUUUACAAUCAUGUAGAAUGUUGUUGAAACUUAUUCCAUACCACUUUUAGAACUGCAGAAUAUUCUUAUUAUCUCUUUUUUUGCCAGAAUCGUCAUGUCAUGUAUGUAUAUUAUCCCUCUAUAAAAGAAAAAGAUGAAUGAAUAUUUGUAUGAAUACUUAAUAAAAAAUAAAUGUG
rnacentral:lncRNA from 1 species